rnacentral:lncRNA from 1 species
AACACCUGGUCACGACCUUACUUGAACAGGAUCUGUUCUAUAGGCUCGUACCUCUGUAUCCUUAAGUUCUAAGGAGACAGGAACUGAAGUCUGGUGGAUGAUCCAUGACCCUGUGAUCAGAGCGUGAUUAACGGUAGUGUUGACUCAGUUUACGGACUGUCCUCAUCACCAACUGUAGAGGAUCGUUCCCGUUCUAGUGAAUUGGGAUGGUCGCAGGGUUGUCUGACAGACUCCCCCAUAAUAUUUUUUUCAUUGAACAUAACCACAUUCCAUAUUUUUCAUCUCCAAGAUUAUGACAAGAGCACGUACUAAAAGUAAAAUCAAACAUUUUUUUUUUCAUAAACUGAAGUUUAAUUAAUUGCCAGAAAGUUAUAAGCACCUACAUAUAUUCUCUUUUCUAAUUAGAAAUUCUUGUUUUAAAUAUUAGAUAGUCUACUUCUUUUAAUUGUUAAGAUUUAUAAAACUUCAUUUUAUUAUCAGUUGCUUGUCUAAUGAUAUAAAUUAGUGAUUCAACACAUUAUUUGUCUGGUCACCUUAUGUAGUGGGUUUGAGGUAAAAGAAUUAAAAUUUAACAUGACUAAAAUAUAUGAUUUUUUUUUUAAAACAAAGAAAUCGUUCUCUUUGUAUUGAAUGUGUUUGUUUUAACUUAUAUACUUUCAUAUUUGUAUAAGAUUUCAUGUUUGUUUUUUUAAAUUAUUGAAUGUGCUAUAAGAUUUUACACUUUUAAUGUUUGAAUUUUGAUACCCAACUUCUUUCAUUUCACAAUUUCAUUUUUUUCUCCACCUUUUUAUUACUUUUUUUUUUCAAUUAAUAUUAUUGGGAUUGUGGUAUGUUCAUUGGUGCAAUUGAUACUAUUUUUUAAAACGUGAUAUCAUUUCAUCUUUUCUGAUAAUAUAGUAAUGAUGUUAUCAUGUUUGUAAGUUUGUUAUUUUUUUUUUUAAUUUUACUACAUAUCAAACGAGAAUUGUGAAAAAAUAGUGUCACUGACAAGUGUAAAGUGAAAAAUUUCCAUUUAAUUCUCUUACUUGUUAUUUUAUCUCAAUUUAGUUUUAUUUUUUUAAAACUAGAAUAAUUUUAUUCUUUUCAAUUGAGAAUAAAUUUAAUUGUUAUAUACAUAUUAUAAUUUUUUUUAUCAAAAUUAAUAUUUUUAAUAAUAUUAAUUCUAUUUGAAUUUAUAUUUUAUAUUAAGUUUUAUUUUAAAUAUUUAUAUAUAUCAAUAAUUUCACUAGGAUCUCCAUUAACUCUUUUUAACUUUAAUAUAAAUGUUAUAAUAGUAUUUUUAUGAAAUAAUUUUAACAGUAUUAAGUUUAGUUAAAUUUAUAGUUUAUAUUAAACUUUAUUUAAGUUUUGUUUUAAAACUUUAAAUAUACUUAUUUUAAAUUGUUUUAAAAAGUUUACAUUUAAAUUUAUAAAAUUAUUAUUUUGAAAUCAACUCUAACAUUUUUGUAAAGAUUGUUGAUGUAUAAAUAUUUGAAUUAAAAUUUAAAUAAAGCUUAAAGUAAAAUAUAGAUUUAAAUUAACUUAAUUUUGUUAAAAGUAUUUAAAUAAAAAUAUCAUUAUAAUAUUUAUAUAAAAAUUAAACUUUAUUUAAAUUUAGAAAAAGAUGAAAUUGUUUAAUUUUAAAAAUAAUUGCAACUAAAUUGAAAUAAAAUAUAAACAUGAACUAAAUUAAGAUAUUUUACUUGACAUUUCUCCUAUCGUAACAUGACGUUGUAAUUGUCACCUUACAUGAUGUCUAUCCUUAUUUGACAAGUGAUAGUUUUCUUUUAAUUAAAAAAAUUAAUAAUUAAAAAAUUAUAAACUAACGCUGUAACACAUGAACUAAUGUUGUUAGUAUAGUACUGAUAAAAAUAAUUAAAUGAAAUUACAUUUUCAAAAAUAAAAAUUUAAUUAAAACUAAUCAAAAUCUUAAAAAUAAUAUGAAUUUUUAGUUGACUCUUCAUGGAUUGGAUGAUGAAGAAAAAACUACAAUUAUCAAUUUUCCCACUUGGGAUAAAAAUUCUUAUCUAUUUAAAUUAUUCAACUGCAAUAUUUUCUUCUCAUUAUACUUCCUAUGUAUAAACAACAGGCUAAACUACACUGUCAAUUUUCCUAUUGCACCGUUUAAAAGAUUUUAAUUAAAUAAAUUUAUCGAAUUGAAAUUGUUUAUAGUACAUAUAAUCUUUACAAAAUCCUACUUAAUACAUCAUUAACAUAAAUUUAAAUUAUUUUCCAAAAUAUAUAUAGAUAAGAAGACCUAAAUCAUAUACUUUUUCACACAAAUAACUAUCUUACAUAUACAAUUAUAAUUUAAAUGUUUGAUGAAAAUCAUCCGAUACCAUUCAUGGUAGUCUAAAUUGAUCUAUGCUUGACAAUUCACAAGGAUGAAGAUUCCAACUGUGUAAAAGAUACAGCACUCAUGAAUUGUCCCCAGUUCACCAAACUGACAGAAAAGAUCUAGAAACAAGGUAAACUACAUAUUGUUUUUGUCACUUCAUCUCAUUUUGUUAACUGCUACCAUUCAUUGAUGUUAGAAGAUACAUCACUAACGUUACAAGACAAAUCUGCUAUUCUCCACCAGUCAACCCCCUUAAAAAUUUAAAAGAAAAACAAUGCUUCAUGCAGUGAAAAUUCCUGCACAGGCUGGUCUUCUACCAUCGAAUCCCUGCAUGCAAUGAUUUAUAGUUUCAUUAUUUUUUAAUUUAAUAGGACUUCGAAUAAACAAGACAAGACCAGAAAAUACUGCUAAUUGCUCACUUCAAUAAUUUCUUCAUAAAACACAACCACCACCAAGUAAAGCAAAUUCAUGAAAAUGUUCACAACAAACUUCCUUACAACAAUCAAUGUUAUUACUUAUUGCUACCACUACAUCCUUGUAAUCAUAUUAUCAAAGAAAAAAUAAGUAUUAUAAGACAUUACAAUGGUGGCAGUAUCUUAGAAUCCUUUCUUUACAAUGCUUUGCAUUCCUCUACCCCUUUGCCAGCCCGCACAAUAGGUUAGUAUUAUCCCUGCAGUAAUCUGGCAUUUAGGCCUAACUGACAAACUAUGGUAGCUUACCUUGUCACGGUUCUUGCCCUGGACUCCUGUCAUUGUUGUUAACACCAUCAGAAAGAUGAACCCAUAAGCUUUGACUCCUGUCAACUCCAUUCUCCCAGGUUUGUUGUCUUACACUCCUGUCAUUGGUGUCACCACCAUCAGAAAACUGGGCCCAGACACUUCGACAUUUUCCUUCUCCACUGAAUUCCUCCUCGCAUCCCGCCACAGUCUUUAGCAGUUCCGAUUGCAGUAAUGGACAAUUUUCCUUAAGAUAUUCAAAACCAUCAGAUUGCAUCACAGCUGCAAGACAGAAAUUAAUAAGCGAUAUAGUUAUACAUCUUAUGAUCAUUUCGUGAUGUUUAGGCUGUUAUUGAAAAUGAAAGUCCUAGAAGACAAACAGAACGCUGUACAGGAUGAAAUAUUUGAUUAGAAAAAUGUAGUGUGCACAACUUGAUCUACAUAUAUUACAAACUUGAGAAGUACUGGUAACUACAGACUACAGGGUAAAUACUACUGGAGUGCCUAAGUCAAUCAACUUUCUUGAACCCAUUUUAUGAAUGAUGCAUCUUUAUUAGAUUGACAAUACUGCCAAGUGGCCAUCAAUUGAAUUCAGAAUAAAUUGUGUACUUGAGAACAACGAAGAAAUCUAUAAAUAGCCUAUUCAACAGAAGCUUCCUAAGGCAGUGCAUUGAAAAGUAAGAAGUCCAACAUAUACAUGAUGGAAACUAAACAACGGUGCCUCUGCAAUGGUUUGUUGCUACGAAAUGAUCAAAACAUGUUUGUUGAUUCAGCUAAAAAAUAUGGGAAUAAUACAAUCACUGAACAAUGUAAAGACCUUACUGCUCAAGAAAAGGAUACUUCUCACAAGAACAAGACAGAAAAAUUUCAAUCACAUUUUUUUUGGAACUAAGGAGGACAAGCCCGAAGAAACUACAAACAAACGCUAUAGGGUAUCAACAACCCUAUAACAUCCUUCAAAAGGAACAUAAAACUUGCCUCAGGAGGUCUAGAUUCAAUCAUAGUUCGCCAUCAAAUAUAAUACUGAGAAAAGUGUGCUGCUUAACACAUUCAUAAUACUGAAAAUUAAAGUUUAUUUCCAUACAACCAAUUAUGCCAGUGGUGAAAAACUUUCAUUGCAUCAACACAAGAACAAAUGACUUGUUUAUGUCUAACAUGUAUGAUCCAGAGAUUUUGUUAAGUAACAAAUAGUGCAGACACCAAAACAAGAGCACCUUUUACAAACUAACAAGGGCUGGCUAUGAAUUCAGGUUUAGACAUGAGUGGGAGAGCUAUGUCAAGCAGGAAAACUUACCAACAAGGUUUUCAGCAGAAAACUGUAGACAGACAGACUUCAACUCUGUAGCACAAUAGCGAUCAGCAAGAGCCAGAAUAUAGGCUACAGAUUCUAUAGAAAUGUCUUUACAAAUUACAGAUUCACACAUCAGCUUAAGUCUAGGCAAGCCAUACUUUUCCGCAGCAGCUAACAACUUUGCUGCAAAUGACUCAGAUACUGAAGGCAAGAAUGAUGAACGUGACACAAAAAGCUCUUCAUCAUCUAUAAGAGUGUCUCUAUAAAUAAAAUGAAGUAAAGCCUGCUCAACAAUAGGACACAAGAUACAUUAAAUAACCAGGUGAAUGAUAUGGCACAGUAAAACUGAAUUAAUUAGCUUGCAUGUUUUAUGGAACAAAAAAUAAUGGCGAAAGGAUAGAUACAAAGGGCAUUGUAACAAAUGUCUUACCUUGAAAACCUUAGGUUCCAUGUCAGUAACAACUAUAUCCUGCUCAUCCUCCUCCAUCCCAUUGAAAAAUUCAGUUUCGAAUGCAGUUGACCGAGCAGCUAAUACAAGUUUAUGAGCAUGAAACCUUUCUCCACCUACAGAGAAAGUAACAUCUGAUCCCUCCUCAUUCUCUAACAGCAUUCCGAAAUGCGACCCAAUGUCAGACUCAGGAACCUGUAUUGUGUUUAAUUUAGAGCAAUCAAUGGAUGAGACCACCACACCGACAGUGCAGUUUAUCUUCAAGCAGUCGUCCUUGAGGAAUGUUGAAGCCUCGAGUUGAGCCCGUUUAAAAAAUCUCUUAUAACCCCUAAUAGACACAAUCAGUGCACCAUUGAUCACUCCAUAACGCACAUCACAAAAAUGGAUAUAACAGCUAGUAACUCAGCAUGGCAUCCCAAGCAUAUUACAAAAACAACAAGGAUCUUAUUAGCAUGUUAGAAUAUCCUAACCAUAAACUAAUAGCAUUGAGAUCAUUGUUAUAGAGUAAAAUAUGGUUUUGGUCCACGAAAAUAUCCCAAAGCUUGGCCUUAGUCCUUAUAAAAAUUGAUAAGUUUUUAAACUUUGUUUUAGUUUCUGCAGAGGGAGUAGAACUAUCAUUCACUCAAGGCAAAAUCUAGAGUGUUAAAUUUGUGCAGGAACUAAAAUCAAGUUUUGAAAGACCAAACAGUAUCAAGUUUUACCAUUUACUUUUUAAAGGGAGAAGUCAUCAAGGAAGAACAUAUAUCUAGAUUCAUCCAACUCGGAAAGCCCACAAUAUUCAUGGCAGCAUGUUGGAAUCUCCCAAUGGAAUGUGGGCUUUGGUCGUAUAGUCCGUGGUAGUAUGGGGUCAUCGGGUUUACAACUUCGCUGGCUACAUUGGACAUUAUGAUAUUACAUUCGCAGAGCUCACGGGAAGCAAAAAAGGUUUCAAGCUGUUUGGGAGUUGAGGUACAGAAGUUUGUUGCCUUUCCAACUCCGCUUAUGCCACAUCAUUCAUAAAACAUCCCAGCCAUUUGCACCAGUACGCAGGAAUACUUAAAACUAUCCAAGACCUUUGAAAUUGGGAUUUGAUCCUCUAAAACGAGGAGAAUGAUGCAAUAACAACCAUUAAUCAGAAAUUCAACUAUUUAAAUUAUAAUUAAUUUCAGAUUUUGUUACUAUAUCUUUGAUAUAAUCACUACUUUUAACCAUUCUCUAAUCACCUAUUGCAGGAGUGUUUCACUUCAGAAGAGCCAAAUCAAUCGAUUUGAGACGGGGCUGGCAGCUUACGCACACUCAUUGGGAAGGGAAUUCUCGCACUAAUUUCUGGUGCUUCUUUUGAUUUAUUUCCUCACGCACCAAAACUACACCCAGAUCUCAUUCAGAGACAAGCAAGGCUAUAAUUAAAAACAAAGCAACCAUAGAGAGUAACAAUUCAUACAACUACAAACAAGAAUGUAUCAACAUAACUCCCAAUUUCACGAUCCCUACCAAACAUUACAGUUCAGUUUAAACCUAAAGCUCAAAUCCACAACCAAACAGAGCGAGAGAACGGCGACACUAACCACAUGCUGCCUCGAUAUUUGAGAGUGUAGGGCCCACUCUCGAGCGAGCGAUCGAAGUGGCUGUGCACCUUGUGCUUGCCGUUGCCGCUCUGGUCGAGCAAGGUGAGUUCGAAGAGCGCGCGAACGUCGGUGCCUUCGGAAGCGAGCGCAAUGAAGACGGAGACAUAGGCAGAGUUGUCUUCAGGAUUCUUGCCGUCGGGAUAGAAGUAAAUCGCCCACUGGUAUCCUCCGACGGUGAAAGUCUCGCUGGCGAUGUGUUUUCCGACGCCGAUUCCCUUGGCAAGAGAGUAACCCUUGAUCACGAACUUAUGUGAACCGUUCACCGUCUCCGUCACCGAACGCGAACUCGUCCGCGACGCCAGGACGCUCCUACUCGCCGCCGCCGGGUUGUACAUCUCACGCGCAAUUGCAAUGAUCGAUCAAUUCGAUACGCGUGACACGACCAUGUACGGUUUUCUCGGGAAAUGGGAGGUUUUGCCGGAAAGUGAAGGAAAAUGGAUCUGUGUUGAUGUUGUUGAUGGCCGUUCGAAUCUAUCCAGUUCUCGCUUUUGUUUAUCUUCCUUAGUUAAGAAAAGGAGAAAAUAUUGAACAAUGAUUUGAAGAUUUUUUUUUUUUUUUCCUUUUCCUUUUCCUUUCCUUUUAUUACUUUGAUCUGAUCUUGAUUCUUGAAGGUUCCGUGCGCAUGAGAUAAUUGGGUUUUCCUUUCUCUAAAUUAUCACCCACUUCCACGUCAUAGUACUGCUCAAGCACAACAUAAACAAAUAAAACAUUUUUUGUUUCUCUUCUCUUAUCGUAGAUUAUACUUUUACUUUUCUCAAUAUUUUUUUUCCUUCUUCUUGUGAUGGUUAAUUAUUAUGUUAAAUACUAUUUUUUAUCGUUAGUCAAUAUAUUUUUAUAAUAAAUAAUAUAUAAUGGAGUAUUUUAUUUCAGUGUAUUGUAUUCCAUAUUUUUUUUACAUCUUAAAAUUGAAAUAAAUAAAUAAAAUAUGAUAAAUGUAAAUCACUACUAAAAAUAACUUCAUACUUUAACUAGGUUAUAAUAUAAUUGUGUUUUUUAUAUUCAUGCAAAUUUGCGAUCUUAUAAUAAUGCAUACAAGGAAGUUUUUCUAUAGAUUUUUCUUAUAGACAUUUCAUCUUUCUAUUCUAUCUUUAAUUAUAUUUUAAAAUUGUAAAAAAAUAAAGUUAAAUAUAAUUAUCUAUUUAAUAUAAUUAAUUGCAUAAAUACUUCAACAGCUUUACUAUGAAAUUAUUUUGAUUUUUUUAGGUAAAUUUGUAACUUAUAACCAUAUAUGAGAUUCCUAUCUUGGACACUUUCCAUAUUAUUAUUUUAUCUUUAAUUAUAUUUAAAAUGAUAAAAGAAUACAAAAUAUAAAAUGAAAUCACCUAUUUAUUAAAAAUAAGUAUAAGUGUACACACUUCAAUUACUCCACAAUACAUGUAUGCUUAUUCUUUCUUUCUCAUACAGAAAUGUGUAAUUUAUGUAGAUCUUUCAGUAUAUUUUUAUUUAAAUUAUAUAUAUAUAUAUAUAUAUAUAUAUUAUUAAUACAAAUAUUAUAUUUUAUUGAAUCAAUAGGUAAUUAUUUUUUUACCGAUUUAAAUAAAAUAUUACAAUAAAAAAAAUACACAAAUAUAGUAAAAGAUAUGAUUUUGAAUAAUUUCUUAGAACAUGUUUACGACACCUAGUUAAGUGUUGACUGUACUAAACUUUGACCGUUUUAUUAUUCGUUUUCAUGUUUAUAAAGUUUUUAAAUUUAUGUUAGAAGAUGUUUAAUUUUCAUUAUAUAGGAAUAUUUAAGUAGUAUGAUUGAAGACACGAUAAGUAUAACUAAUGUAGUAUUUUACAUGAUAUAUCUUCUUUAAAAUAAAAUGUUUAGAUUUUAUAUUUCUUUAGACUUAAAUAUUGUUCCCUUAUUUUAACUCCAACAAAAAUACUUUCCUAUUAUCCUUUUUAAUAUAUAAACACAUGUUAUAAUAACACCUAUACAUAUAUAUUUACUACUAUUAUACUUAUUAAUGGUUAAUAAAUAAAAAUUGGCAUUAAUUAUGUAAACACACCAUAGACUAGGAGAUUUCAUGUUAUCUCUCAUCACAUAAUCACCUUUUCUAUUUGAGAUAGAAUGAUUAUUGAAGCAUCAAGAUCAUUUCUAAAGCUAAACUCUUACAUUAAUACAUUCCUUGAAAGAACCAUUUAGAAUUUCUCCGUAGAAACUCUCGUUUAAGUACACCUUGAUACAUACCUUAACAUCAUUCAUAAUCCUCAUUAACCUUUUAUCAAACAUACAAACCAUGUCAUAUAAAGCAAUCCUUAAAAUAGACCAUAGAAACAUAAGAAUUCAACAACCAAAAUGAAAAAGCAAAGGACUUUGAUGCUAAGCGACACAUCCUUGUCAUUGAGCGUCAUUCGUCACACAAACCUGACGCCUGAGCGACAAUCCCUUGUACCUGAGCGCCAAACCUUUCAGCUUUCUAGAGAUUAGGCUCUACUAAUUACCUUGAGCGCAUCACUAGAAGUGUAAACACUUCUAAACUAACCUUGGUUGACCCCAUACAUGUUCAAAUGAUCAAAAUGGCAUCCCAGACACUAGGAAUGAUUUAAAAAUAGUUUUAUAACUUAAAUUAGAUACCAAUUUGAUGAUUUGUUUAGGAAUCAAGGUUCAACCAAUCAAUCUACAACUAAAACUCAUGUAUUUCAUUUCUUUUGCUUUAAACUAUGUCCUUAAGACUCUAAGUAGUCAACUAAAUCUUAAAUGACUUUUUAAUAACCACCAAACAUAAGAUUUUCUCAUUAGACUAGAAACCAAGGGCAUUAAACCUAUUUAACUACUCACAAGGGUCUAAAUUCAAGUACUCCCUUUAAAACACAUAGCAACUUAGAGGUCGAACAAGUUAGAAAUGACCCAACAACAGACCCUAAACCCUUCACUUUAGCUCAUUACUUCUACUUUAAAAUCUCAUUAGUCAAAAUCUCUAAAAAUAAACCAAAAACAACCUAAACUCAACCUAUUAGCAUAUUACCAACUCAACAUCAAAUUUGUGGUUAAUUAAAAUCUUAGAUAAGUUUGUAAUGGUCUAAGUCUAACAUCAGUUAUAGUUUCAAAAUUACUUUUUUAGAAAUUCAUCUACCAAAAUCUCAAUUUAGACCAAAAAUCGGUCUAACAACAAUCCAUUUUCACUACUUUCAACUCUAUAACAAAUUUAUACUUUCUAGAACUCCAAAACAAUAACACCACAAACUCAAUCAAGCAUCAUUUAAAUAGCAUACACCACAAUAUUCAUUGAUAAGAAAAUAUUACUCAUCAAUCGCAAUUAUCACUCAAUAAAUAUCUCAAUGAUAACAUAUUCAAUCAAACUUCAUUCUCACAACCUAGCAAAAUUGAAUUUCAUACUUCUUAACACAAAUUAAAGCAAAUAUUAGCUCCCCUUAUAUACCUUUUUAGAAGACCAAACCGCUCUAAAGAAUCCUAUAUCGCUCUUACAGCUCAUAGAACUCUAUCUAUACCUAUAGACAACGAUAAGACGAUCAAGGUAAACCGUUAGAAUCACUGAUCAGUAGAGACUCAAACUGAAGACUAAGAAGACGCAUGCAAGGUGAGUGAGGACCCACAUGCAACAAAUAAAGAAAGGACAAGAGAAAAGAGAUCAAAACUUAACUUACUCAAACAUAGAUCUGAUCGAUCUGAAUUAAAGAGCUCACCGCUAGGAUCACUACUACAGGUCUCAAUUUUUCAAUCAGAUAAGCAAAGAAAAAGAACUCCUAGAAAGAAGUCAAAGAACUCUAGUUCUAAAUAGGUCAAUGAUCAUAUGAACUUGUAUGUGUGAUAGAAUGAAAUUAAGGUGGUGAUUUAUAAUUCUAUGAUGUUUUAGCUGAAAGUAAAAUUUAGACUUCGUUAUAAUGAUAAGUAAAUGUGGUCGUGCUCUGAGUAUGUAUGAUAUUAUGUCUCCUCGUUGUAACUUAUGAAGUCGAGUUUUGUUUACUCUCUUCUUCGCGGGUUUGGUAAGUCGAAACGAAGGGGAAGGUAUGGAAUUAGACAUUGCUUUAAUAAGCAAGAUUUAUGUAACAGUAGGUUACGAGAGAAGCACGUACUAAUUAGCCAUUACCAUAUUGAAUAGGCCCAAGUCUGUGAAAGGCCCAAAACACCUCAAGCCCAAACGAUGGUAGAAAAGGUGAUGCUGGAAGCUUCCUUGGCAGAGUUGGUGAGGAUGUCUUUCACUCGAUAGACGCGUGAUGGAGAGAGAAGAAGAAGUGCGAGCCCUAAUCCCAGCACAAGUGAUCGACGAUGGUUGGUCCGAUGAAGGAAGACGUCGAGAAAAGGAAAGAAGAUGGGUUCAGACAGAGGCAGAGAGAAACAAAGGUAAGAAGAACUUUCUGAAUAUUGCAAGAUAUCCGAAUGUAGUGUUAUUUCGUUCUUCAUGAAACAAUAGGCCAUAAUCCUUCUUAUAUAGGAUUCUGUUACAAGAAAAUAUACACAUAAAUCAAUUAGAAAUCCCAACUGAACAACCGAAAACAUAAACGAAGACCUAGACUAAGUAAACAUCUCUUAGGAGCAUUAACUACUCAUAACGGAAAUAUUAAUAUAUAAUAUUAUUUUAUUAAUAAAAAAGCGCCACCUAUCUUAACAUGAAGGAGCAUAAAAUAAAAUAAUUGUUAUAUAAUUCAAAUAAAGAAAAAUAUUUCAAGAAGAAACACCCAAUUGAAAAUUAUAAAAAACUAUGAGUUCCUAAUAUAAAAUAAAUUAAUAAAAAUUUAAUUGAAAUUUUUUCUUUUUGAAAAAGUUAAAAUAUAAUUUCUAUAUUAGUUUUUGGUCACGGAGUAGUCUUUUCUGACUCCUUUUUUAUUGUCCAUUAAAGGAUAAGGCCAAAUCGGAUAGGAGAGACCUAUUUUGUCAUCCAUACUCUUAGAAUAUAAUAAAUAUGUAAAACAUCAAAACAAAAAUAAUUAUUAUCAUAAUUGUAUGAUUUUGUUCAUAAGCUGGCCCACAAGCCUCAUAGGCCAUUCAUCAUGCAAAACAUAUCAAUAAAACUAGCUUACAAUUCUUAUGUGGGGUCAACCCAGUCUCACCCUUUUUUACAAGUCAAAUUUGGGGUGAAUAAAUUAAGACAGGCGAUCCAACAUUGUUAUUCCUAUUUAAAAUCAAUUAUGAUUUUAUAUUAAAUAUAUUAUUAUUUUACUAAUAAAAAAUUCACCUAUAUUGACAUGAAGGAGUAUAAAAUAAAAUAACGUUAUAUAAUUCAAAUAAAGAAAAAUAUUUAAAGGAGAAAUACCCAAUUGAAAAUUAUAAAAAACUAUGAGUUCCUAAUAUAAAACAAAUUAAUAAAAACUUAAUUGAAAACAAUAAUUCUUUUGAAAAACUUGAAAUAUAUUUUUUGUAUUUUUUUUGGUGACAGGCUAAUCUUUUGUGAUUCCUUUUUUAUUGUCCAAAAAAGGAUCAGGCUAAAUUGGAAAGGAAGAACCUAUUUUGUCAUCCCUACUCUUAUAAUAUAAUAAAUUUGUAAAACAUCAAAACAAAAACAAUUAUUACCAUAAUUGUAUGAUUUUGUUCAAGGGCUGGCCCACAUGUCAUUCAUUAUGCAAAACAUAUCAACAAAACUAGCUUACAAUUCUUAUGUAGGAGAAAUUCAGUCUGACCCGCUUUUACCUUUUAAAUGUGAGCUGAAUAAAUUAAUAGAGAUAAUCCAACAUUGUCAUUCUUAUUUAAAAUCAAUUAUCAUAUUAUAUUAAAUAUAAUAUUAUUUUAUUAAUAAAAAAGCGUCACCUAUCUUAACUUAAAGGAGCACAAAAUAAUAUAAUCGUUAUAUAAUUCAAAUAAAGAAAAAUAUUUAAAGGAGAAACACCCAAUUGAAAAUUACAUAAAUCUAUGAGUUCCUAAUAUAAAAUAAAUUAAUAAAAACUUAAUUGAAAACAAUAUUUUUUUUAAAAACUUAAAAUGUAAUUUCUCUAUUAUAUUUUGGUGACAGGCUAGUCUUUCUUGACUCCUUUCUGAUUGUCCAAAAAUGGAUCAGGCCAAAUCGGUUAAGACAGACCUAUUAUGUCAUCCAUACUCUUAAAAUAUAAUAAAUAUGUAAAACAUAAAAAAAAAAUUAAUACCAUAAUUGUAUGAUUUUGUUCGUGGGCUGGCCCACAAGCCCUAUAGGCCACUCAUAAUGCAAAAUAUAUCAACAAAACUAACAUACAAUUCUUAUGUGGGGACAACUCAGUCUCACGAAUUUUUAGAUGUCAAAUAUGCGGUGAAUAAAUUAAGAUAGACGAUCCAACAUUAUUAUUCCUACUUAAAAUCAAUUAACAUUUUAUAUUAAAUAUAAUAUUAUUUUAUUAAAAAAAAUCCUCACCUAUCUUAACAUGAAGGAGCAGAAAAUAAAAUAACUAUUAUAUAAUUCAAAUAAAGAAAUAUAUUUAAAAGAGAAACACCCAAUUGAAAAUUAUGAAAAACUAUGAGUUCCUAAUAUAAAAUAAAUUAAUAAAAACUUAAUUGAAAACAAUAGUUCUUUUGAAAAUAUUAAAAUAUAAUUUUUGUAUUAUUUUUUGGUCACACACUAGUCUUUCCUGACUCCUUUUUGAUUGUCCAAAAAAGGAUUAGGAAAAAUCAGGAAGGACCUAUUUUGUAAUCCCUACUCUUAUUAUAUAAUAAAAAUGUAAAACAUCAAAACAAAAACAAUUAUUACCAUAAUUGUAUGAUUUUGUUGACCCAUAUGCCAUUCGUUAUGCAAAACAUAUCAACAAAACUAGCUUACAAUUCUUAUGUGGGAGCAACUCAGUCUGCCCGUUUUUACCUGUCAAAUGUGGGCUGAAUAAAUUAAGACAAAAAAUCCAACAUUGUCAUUCUUAUUUAAAAUCAAUUAUCAUUUUAUGUUAAAUAUAAUAUUAUUUUAUUAAUAAAAAAGUUUCACCUAUCUUAUCAUGAAGGAGUAUAAAAUAAAAUAAACGUUAUAUAAUUCAAAUAAAGAAAAAUAUUUAAAGGAGAAACACACAAUUGAAAAUUAUAAAAAAUUAAGAGUUCAUAAUAUAAAAUAAAUUAAUAAAAAAUAAAUUGAAAACAAUAAUUUUUUUAAAAAAACUUAGAAUAUAAUUUCUGUAUUAUUUUUUGGUGACAACUUUUUUAUUGUCCAAAAAAGGAUAAGGCCGAAUGGGAUAGGACGAACCAUUUUGUCAUCCCUACUCUUAAAAUAUAAUAAAUAUCUAAAACAUCAAAACAAAAAUAAUUAUUACCAUAAUUGUAUGAUUUUGUUCAUGGGCUAGCCCUCAAGCCCCACAAGCCAUUUAUUAUGCAAAACAUAUCAACAAAACUAGUUUACAAUUCUUAUGUGGGGCAACAUAGUCUGACCUGUUUUUGCAUGUCAAAUGUGGGGUGAAUAAAUUAAGAUAGAAGAUCCAACAUUGUUAUUCCUAUUUGAAAUCAGUUAUCAAUUUAUAUUAAAAAUAAUAUUAUUUUAUUAAUAACAAAGUGUUACCUAUCUUAACAUGAAGAAGCAUAAAAUAAAAUAACGGUUAUAUAAUUCAAAUAAAGAAAAAUAUUUAUGGGAGAAACGCCGAAUUGAAAAUUAUAAAAAACUAUGAGUUCCUAAUAUAAAAUAAAUUAUUUAAUAAAAACUUAUUUGAAAACAAUAACUUUUUUUAAAAACUUAAAAUAGAAUUUCUGUAUAUUUUUUGGUGACAGGCUAGUCUUUCCUGAUUCCUUUUUGAUUGUCCAAAAAAGUAUCAAGCCAAAUCGGAUAGAAUAGACCUAUUUUGUCAUCCCUACACUUAGAAUAUCAUAAAUAUAUAAAACAUCAAAACAAAAAUAUGUAUUACCAUAAUUAUACCAUUUGGUUCCUGGGUUGGCCCACAAGCCCCAUAAGCCAUUCAUCAUGCAAAACAUAUAGACAAAACUAGCUUACAAUUCUUAUGUGGGGGCAACUCAAUCUCAACUAUUUUUACAUGUCAAAUGUGGGCUGAAUAAAUUAGGACAGACGAUCAACAUUGUCAAUCCUAUUUAAAAUCAAUUAUCAUUUUAUACUAAAUAUAAUAUAAUUUUAUUAAUAACAAAACGUCACCUAUCUUAACAUGAAGGAGCAUAAAAUAAAAUAAUCGUUAUAUAAUUCAAAUAAAGAAAAAUAUUUAAAGGAGAAACACCCAAUUGAAAAUCAUAAAAAACUAAUAGUUCCAAAUAUAAAAUAAAUUAAUAAAAACUUAAUUGAAAACAAUAAGUUUUUUGAAAAACUUAAAAUAUAAUUUCUAUAUUAUGUUUUGGUGACAGGCUAGUCUUUCCUUCUUUUUUAUUGUCCAAAAAAGGAUAAGACCAAAUUGGGUAGGACAAACCUAUUUUGUCAACCCUACUCUUAGAAUAUACUAUAUAUGUAAAACAUAAAAAAAUAAUUAUUACCGCAAUGGUAUGAUUUUGUCCAUGGGUUGACCCAUAUGCCCCACCAGCCAUUCAUUAUGCAAAAUAUAUCAAAAAAACUAACUUACAAUUCUUAUGUAGGGGCAACUCAGUCUGACCCAUUUUUACAUUUCAAAUGUGGGGUGAAUAAAUUAAGACAGACGAUCCAACAUUAUCAUUCCUAUCAGUUAUCAUUUUAUAUUAAAAAUAAUAUCAUUUUAUUAAUAAAAAAAGUGUCACCUAUCUUAACAUGAAGGAGCAUAAAAUAAAAUAUCUGUUAUAAAAUUCAAAUAAAGGAAAAUAUUUAAAGGAGAAACACACAAUUGAAAAUUAUAAAAAACUACGAGUUCCUAAUAUAAAAUAAAUUAAUAAAAUCUUAAUUUAAAAUAAUAAUUUUUUUGAAAAACUUAAAAUAGAAUUUCUGUAUUAUUUUUUGGUGACAAUCUAGUCUUUCCUUACUCCUCUUUUAUUGUCCAAAAAAGGAUCAAGCUAAAUCGAAUAGGAUGGACCUAUUUUGUCAUUCCAACUCUUAGAAUAUAAUGGGUGUUGCUCCCUCCACCUUCUCAAGUGGGUCCUGUACCUCCCUACUAUUUUAAUUUAUUUCAAAAAUAUUCUACACCUCCCCAUUAUUUUCUUUUAUUCCAUAAAUACCCUACACCUCUCCACUAUCCUUAACCAUAUUUCUCUUUCUCUCUCUCUAUGUGAAUGGAGCAUUUACAUGGCUUAUUAAUGGAGCAUUUACAUUAUUCAAAUUUGAACUUGUGAUAUCUUUUCUUAGAUAAGUUUGAUUCAAUCUUAUUUUCGCGGUUGAAUAUAUUUUUUCUUUUCAAAUUACUUAAUAAAUUGGUAAAAUUUUGUUCUAAAUUUCUAGAAAAAUGUUUAUAUAUAUGUAUUUUUUUACAUAUAAUAUCUAUAAUUUUUAACAUUAUAUUAUGUUUUAACUCACCGACAUGUUUGACUCAAAUAACUUGAAUAAAAUAUUUNNNNNNNNNNNNNNNNNNNNNNNNNNNNNNNNNNNNNNNNNNNNNNNNNNNNNNNNNNNNNNNNNNNNNNNNNNNNNNNNNNNNNNNNNNNNNNNNNNNNNNNNNNNNNNNNNNNNNNNNNNNNNNNNNNNNNNNNNNNNNNNNNNNNNNNNNNNNNNNNNNNNNNNNNNNNNNNNNNNNNNNNNNNNNNNNNNNNNNNNNNNNNNNNNNNNNNNNNNNNNNNNNNNNNNNNNNNNNNNNNNNNNNNNNNNNNNNNNNNNNNNNNNNNNNNNNNNNNNNNNNNNNNNNNNNNNNNNNNNNNNNNNNNNNNNNNNNNNNNNNNNNNNNNNNNNNNNNNNNNNNNNNNNNNNNNNNNNNNNNNNNNNNNNNNNNNNNNNNNNNNNNNNNNNNNNNNNNNNNNNNNNNNNNNNNNNNNNNNNNNNNNNNNNNNNNNNNNNNNNNNNNNNNNNNNNNNNNNNNNNNNNNNNNNNNNNNNNNNNNNNNNNNNNNNNNNNNNNNNNNNNNNNNNNNNNNNNNNNNNNNNNNNNNNNNNNNNNNNNNNNNNNNNNNNNNNNNNNNNNNNNNNNNNNNNNNNNNNNNNNNNNNNNNNNNNNNNNNNNNNNNNNNNNNNNNNNNNNNNNNNNNNNNNNNNNNNNNNNNNNNNNNNNNNNNNNNNNNNNNNNNNNNNNNNNNNNNNNNNNNNNNNNNNNNNNNNNNNNNNNNNNNNNNNNNNNNNNNNNNNNNNNNNNNNNNNNNNNNNNNNNNNNNNNNNNNNNNNNNNNNNNNNNNNNNNNNNNNNNNNNNNNNNNNNNNNNNNNNNNNNNNNNNNNNNNNNNNNNNNNNNNNNNNNNNNNNNNNNNNNNNNNNNNNNNNNNNNNNNNNNNNNNNNNNNNNNNNNNNNNNNNNNNNNNNNNNNNNNNNNNNNNNNNNNNNNNNNNNNNNNNNNNNNNNNNNNNNNNNNNNNNNNNNNNNNNNNNNNNNNNNNNNNNNNNNNNNNNNNNNNNNNNNNNNNNNNNNNNNNNNNNNNNNNNNNNNNNNNNNNNNNNNNNNNNNNNNNNNNNNNNNNNNNNNNNNNNNNNNNNNNNNNNNNNNNNNNNNNNNNNNNNNNNNNNNNNNNNNNNNNNNNNNNNNNNNNNNNNNNNNNNNNNNNNNNNNNNNNNNNNNNNNNNNNNNNNNNNNNNNNNNNNNNNNNNNNNNNNNNNNNNNNNNNNNNNNNNNNNNNNNNNNNNNNNNNNNNNNNNNNNNNNNNNNUUUACUAUUAAUAUUAUGUUUAUUAUUUUGUAUUUGCAUCUAACUUUUAAUUUUAUAAAAUGGAAAUGGUAGAAGUACUAAUAUUGAAGUUUCCUCCGAAUUUUAUAUUUUGUAAUAUGAAGCAAGUGAAUGCUCCAUUAAUAUAGAGAGAGAUUUUUAAGGAUAGUGAGGGAGGUGUAGGGUAUUUUUGGAAUAAAAGAAAAUAGUGAGGAGUUGAAGAAUAUUUUUGAAAUAAAUUAAAAGAAUGGGGAGGUGCAGGACACACUUGGAGAGAUGGAGGGAGCAACACCCUACAAUUCUUAUGUGGGGGUAACUUAGUUUGACCCGUUUUUACAUGUCAAAUGUGAGUGAAUAAAUUAAGAUAAACGAUUCAACAUUGUCAUACCUAUUUAAAAUCAAUUAUCAUUUUAUAUUAAAUAUAAUAUUAUUUUAUUAAUAAAAAAAGUCACUAAUAUUAACAUGAAUGAAUGUAAAAUAAAUAACCAUUAUAUAAUUCUAGAUAAAAAAAAUUUAAAGGUGAAACACCUAAUUGAAAAUUAUAAAAAAACUAUGAGUUCCUAAUAUCAAAUAAAUUAAAUAAAACUUAACUGAAAACAAUAAUUUUUAUUGAAAAAACUUAAAAUACAAAUAAGAAGAGAAAAUAAUAUUUUUAAAAAUUAAAAACAUUAAAUGUAUUAUUUUCAAUUUUCAACUUGGGAGCCCAUUGUGGCCAACCAACCUAGUCCGUUUUUCAAAUGCAUCUCCACCACUAGAACUAAUUUUAGGCAUUACCAAUGAAUUUUAGCCAUCAACAAAAUCAAUUUUUCUACAGUAAUUAUGUACUAGUAUUGUCAUUUAAUCAUUAACACUUACAAAAUACAGUUCAAUUAUUAGUUUUAAUAAAAGAGUUUAACAUGUAAAUGUAAUGUUUUUCUUUAUUUAUUCAGUUAAAAACAUUAACUAUUCAAUUAAAAACUUAAAAAUUAUUUGUAUGAUUAAAUAAUGUUUUAAUAUUUAUUUAUACAUGAAUAUAUAUAAAAAUUUUAAAAAUAAAAAAAAUUAGAAAAACUGAAAUAAAAGUGAUGUGUCGACCUGUUAGCCUAUCAUCCUAUUUUAUAAUAGGAUGAGUUAUAAUUUUUGUAACAUUUUUUGUUGACAGACUAAUCUGACUUGACUACUUUUUGAUUGACCAAAAGAGCAUAUGAUCAAGUCAUGUAGCAUAAACCUAUUUUGUCAUUUCUACUCUUAGAAGACAAUAAACAUGUAAAGCAUUAUAACAAAAUAAUUAUUACCAUAAUUGUAUGAUUUUGUUCAUGGGCUGGUCCAUAAGCCGCAUAGGCCAUUCAUUAUGAAAAUGUGUAUCAACAAAAGGGGGUUACUCCCUCCACCUCCCUGUUUCCACCCUUCACCUCCCCAAUUUUUUGCCUUUUUUUGUUACGAAAAUAUCCUUUUUCUUGACUUUUUUAACCUUUUUACAUAUUUUUUUUUUACUUUUAAUGGUAUUUAGGAGUAACCCUCAACCCUAUGUUAUUUAUUUUUACUCUACUCACAACCCCACCUCCCCCAAAUUUGAGAUCUGUCUCUUCCUCUGCCAACUCUGUGACUCUCUUUACUCCCACCUCUGUGACUCUUGUUCUUAUCCAAACUCUCCAAACUCUCCAAACUCUACUUUGCUUUCCGGUGCGAUGGUGUGCUCUGUUCUUGUGUGCGGUGGUGUUUCGUUGUUGACAUUGGUGGUACGUGGACUCAGAUUCAUAGACUUUCCUCUCUGCUUGAAGCUCAUCCGAAGAGAUGCUAAAGAGGUCUGAGCAUUUGACCUUCGCCCCUCUUCUCCUUUUUCCCUUGCUCUUCAUAAUAAGGGAGUCCUCUGCAUCCAAGUUUCCCUUUUCAAUCUCCAUUUUUUCUUACUUUUUUAACUCCACAACCCAAACCUAACUCUUUAUUUCUCUACACAGGUGACGUUUGACGCAAAGAAGACAUGGAAAAGGCCCUCCGCGGUGCCAACUGUGUUUUCCACCUUGCGGCCUUUGGAAUGUCAGGUAAAGAGAUGCUCUAGUUUGGUUGUGUUGAUGAAGUCAACAUAAAUGGGACUUGCCAUGUUCUCGAUGCUUGUCACGACCUCGGUAUAACGAGGCUUGUCUAUUGUAGCACAUAUAAUGUUGCCUUCGGUGGUCAACAGAACAUCAACGAGAAUGAGACAUUGCCUUAUUUCCCAAUUGAUCACCAUGUCGAUCCAUAUGGCCGUAGUAAAUCAAUCUCUGAGUAGUGGGUUCUAAAGAACAAUGCCCGCCCUCUGAAGUAUGUAUGUAUGUCGACAUCCGUUUACCUUAAAUAGAUGUUGACAUCCGUCGACGGAUGCUCAUAUCCUUUUAAGGGAGCUUUCAACGUUAUUAGGGUUAGCUUUUAUUCACACACUUUUUUGUGAUUAGCUCUUAAAUCACACACUUUUUUUAGAGCUUUCACAGAGUGCGUCACUACCUUUAAGCGUAGAGAUGAUUGAACUUUUUAACCUUAGAACAAUUUCUUCUACUAAUCUCUCACUCACCACACUCUCAGCCAAAGAGAAGAGAAAGAAUUCUACCAAAGAGAAGAGAAAGAAUUCUACCAAAGAGAAGAGAAAGAAUUCCACCACGAAGGAGUAAGAAAACAUAAACGUAAAAGAGUAAAAGAGAAUCAAUAAUAGGUUAUGUGGGAGAGUAAGUAAAAAUUAUAAAAUUUUAGACUUUUAUUAAAAGGAUAAAAUAGGAAUAGAAAAAUAGAGUGAAAAAUAAAAGAGUAGAUGAGAAGGUGGAGGGAGCAAACAGGGAGGUGGUUGGAACAACACCCUCAACAAAAUUAGCCUACAAUUCUUAUGUGAGGGCAACUCAGUCUGACCUGUUUUUUACAUUACAAAUGUGGGGUGAAUAAAUUAAGAUAGACAAUCCAACAUUGUCUUUCCUAUUUAAAAUAACUUAUCACUUUAUAUUAAAUAUAAGAUUAUUUUAUUAAUAAUAAAAUGUCACCUAUCUUAAUGAAGAAACGUAAAAUAAAAUAUCAAUUAUAUAAUUCAAAUAAAGAAAAAUAUAUAAAAGAGAAACACCCAAUUAAAAAUUAUAAAAAUUUAUGACUACUUAAUAUAAAAAUUAAUUAUAACUUAAUUGAAAACAAUAAAUUUUUUGAAAAACUUAAAAUAUAAAUAAGCAAGAGGAAAUAAUAUUUUUAAAAAUUAAAAACAUUUAAUGUGUUAUUUUCAAUUUUCAACUUGCCAGCCCAUUGUGGUUGAUCAACUUAGCCUAUCCAAGUUCGCUGAUAUGUUUUUUAUUUUUUAAAAUUAAAAAUUAAUAAAAAUAAGCCUCCAUCACGAACAACCUAAAACGCGAGGAGAUCGUGGACCACACAAUCGCCGAAUAGCCUCCAUCACUUAUAAGCAAAAGCCACCAUGAACUCGCAGGACCUAGAAAUUGUGUCACCAACACGAAUUUAGAUCCACGCACUACACCACCAUUUAAGCAACACCCACAUGCAUUUCUAACACUAAAACCAAUUUACAAACCACAUAACUUGUAUAAGGGAAAACCACAGUGACUUAACAAAUCAGAUUUCAUGUGGAUUUGUAAUAAAAACCAACCUUAGUCACCAUGCGCAAAUAAAAACUAAAAGGAAAAGAAGAAACGAGGAAGUAGAUUAACUAAAUCGUAGUAUUUACCAAUGAAUGUUUUCUUUGGUAAUUAGUUUUAAAAAAAUAAUUUAACAUGUAAAUGUAAUAAUUUUUUUAUUGAUUCAGUUAAAAACAUUAAUUAAUCAAUUAAGAAAUUAAAAAUUAUUUGUAUGAUUAAAUAAUGUUUUAAUAUUUAUUUAUACGUGUGUUUAUAUAAACAAAUAUUAAAAAUAAAAAAAUUAAAAAAACUAAAAUAAAAGUGAUGAGUAGACCUGCUAGCCCAUCAUCUUGCUCUAUAAUGGGAUGAGUUAUAAUUUCUAUACCAUUUUUUUGUUGACAAAUUAAUCUGUUCUGACUCCUUUUUUAUUAACCUAAAGAGAGCUAAAUCGAGUAGGACAGACCUAUUUUGUCAUAUCUACUCUUAUAAUACAAUAAAGAUGUAAAACAUCAAAUUAUUCAAAACAUAUCAACAAAACUAACAUAUAAUUUUUAUGUGGGGCAACUCUGACUCGCUUUUUACAUGUCAAAUGUGAACUGAAUAAAUUAGGACAGGUUAUAUAACAUUGUGAUUACUAUUUAAAAUUAAUUAUCAUUUUAUAUUAAAUAUAAUAUUAUUUUAUAAAUAAUAAACGUCACCUAUCUUAACAUGAAAAUAUUUAAAAGAGAAAUCCCUAAUUCAAAUAAAAAAAAAUAUUUAAAAGAGAAACCCCCAAUUGAAAAUUGUAAAAACUUAUGAGUACCCAGUAUAAAAUAAAUUAAUAAAAACUUAAUUGAAAACAAUAAUCUUUUUGAAAAACUUAAAAUAUAAUAAGCAUGAGAAAAUAAUAUUUUUAAAAAUUAAAAGCAUUAAAUGUAUUAUUUUAAUUUUCACUUUGCCACUCAUUAUGGUCAAUCAACCUAGCCCGUCUCAGUCCGCUGAUCUGUAUCUUAUUUUUUAAAAUUAAAAAUUAAUAAAAAAUAAUCUAAAAAAAUAAAUUUUCUAUAUGAUAUUAUUUUUAAAAUUAUGAAAUUACUGAUAAAAUUUUACUAACAAAUUUUACCACGAUAUUUAAUUUGUUGACGUAUUUUAUCAACGAAAAAAUUCACUAGAAAAUAAAAUAUGUAUUGUCGAUGAAUUUAUUGAUGGAAAAUAUCAUCAAUAAAAAGAAUGAUAAAUUUCUCACCCAAAUCACACGUUCAUUGUCAAUGUAUACUUUAUUUUGCUUCAACAUGCAUUUAGUAACCAUGGCAUCUGCGUCCACUAUGAUCCUUAUUGGAUCUUCUCUCACUACCACAACCCACAACCCAUCUAACCACAAAAAAUGAUGAAGAUCGAAGCUUUACUAGAUGUUGGCAACUUUUACAUCAGAACACGAACAACCCAAAACGCGAGUAGAUUGUGCACCACACACUUGCCGAAUAGCCUUCAUCACACAUAAAAAGCCACCACGAACUCGCAGGACCUGAAAAUCGUGUCACCAACACGAAUUGACACGAAUUUAAGUCGAUGCAGUUCACCUCUGUUUAAACAACACCCAUAUGCAUCUCCACCACGAGAACCAAUUUGCAGACCACGUAACUUGCACGAGGGAAAACCAUAGUUACUUAGCUAAUCAGAUUUCAUGUGGAUUUGGAAUAAAAACCAACCAUAGUUACCAUGAACAAAUAAAAAGUAAAAGAAGAAGAAGAAGAAAUGAGGAAGAAGAUGAACCAAAUCGUAGUAUUUGCCAAUGAAUUUUUUCUUUGGUAAUUGUUGUCGAACAUUAUCAACGAAUUUGCCAUUGGUAAUUAUUGACAAAACAAAAAUCUGUCGAUAAAUUUUAUCAAUGACAAUUUUACUAAUUUUUUUUACCGUCGAUAAUUUCAAUCUAUAGACGAAUUUUAAGCAUUAACAGUGAAUUCUAAUUGUCGAUAAUAUCAAUUUUUCUUAUAAUAAAUAUGUAAUAGUAUUGUCAUUUAAUCAUUAACACUUACAAAUUAAGUUUCAAUCAUUAGUUUUAAUAAACUAAUUUAACAUGUAAAUAUAAUAAUUUUUUAUUUAUUCAAUCAAAAACAUUAAUUAAUCAAUUAAAAACUUAAAAAUUAUUUGUAUGAUUAAAUAUGGUCUUAAUACUUAUUUAUACGUGUAUAUUAUAAACAAAUUUUAAAAAAAAAAAAAUAAAACUAAAAUAAAAGUGAUGAGUUUAGCUGUAGCCCAUCAUCGUAUUCUAUAAUGAGAUGGGUUAUAGUUUUUGUACAAUUUUUUUGUGACAAACUAGUCUAUCCUGACUACUUUUUUAUUGACCAAAAGAGGAUCAUACCAAAUCGGGUAGCACAAACCUAUUUUGUCAUCUCUACUCUCAUAAUACAAUAAAUAUGUAAAACAUUAAAGCAAAAUUAUUAUUAUUAUUAUUAUUAUUGUGUGAAUUUGUUCAUGGGUUGGCCCUCAAACCCCACGGGCCAUUUAUUCAUUAUACAAAACAUAUCAACAAAACUAGUUUACAAUUCUUUUAUGAGGAGAACUCAAUUAGAUCCCUUCUUUACAUGUCAAAUAUAGGAUGAAUAAAUUAAGAGAGAUUAUCCACCAUUAUCAUUUCUAUUUAAAAUCAAUUAUCAUUUUAUAUUAAAUAUAAUAUUAUUUUAUUAAUAAUAAAACGUUACCUAUCCUAACAUGAAUAAACAUAAAAUAAAAUAACCGUUAUAUAAUUCAAAUAAAAAAAUAUUUAAAAGAGAAACACCCAAUUAAAAAUUAUAAAAAAUUAUGAGUACAUGAUAUAAAAUAAAUUAAUAAAAACUUAAUUGAAAACCAUAAAUUAUUUGAAAAUUUUAAAAUAUAAAUAAGCCAGAGGAAAUAAUAUUUUUAAAAAUGAAAAACAUUAAAUGUAUUAUUUAUUACAUGAAAAUAAAUUUAUUAAGUAUAUUGCUUUUAUAAUUUAAACAGUAAAUAAUAAUUAAUGGUAUUGAAUAUAUAAAUUAAUACUUAUCUAUACUAUUAUAUAUAAAAAUAAUUAUUUUUCGGACGUUUAUUUUUCAAUUUUUUCUUUUAAUGUUUUUUUUAAAUUAAAAUAAUUUUUUUACAAAUUUUAUAACCUCUCUGUUUAAAUUUAUAACUGUCUUUGUAAACUUAAAUUACUUUGAAAAUUAAAAUAGUCAUUAUAAUACAAAAAUUACUUACAAAAUAAAUAAAAAUUAUUUAUAAAAAACUUACAAAAAAAAAUAUAUUUAUUUUUUAAUUAUAAUUUUAUAUUUUUAAUAAACAAAAAUUAAAUACAUAUGAACAUAUUUUCUAGUUAUCUUAUGUUUUUACUGGUCAUUGAUAAAAGUGAGAUGGUAAUAAUCUUGUAAUUUUUUUGAAGUACUUUUUUUUUUUUACAAGUUUAAAUAUACGAACGAAUAAAAUAGUGAUACAUAGUUUAUUUUCCAAAAAAUUAUUAAAAAAAUAAUUAUUAACAUUAUUGGAAGUCUCGUAUCGACUAGAGAUGAAGCCAUUUAAGUGUAUAUAAGUGGGUGCAAACCUCAUCCUACAAAACGAUUUUGUGGGGUUGAGUUAGACUUAAACUUCACUUCUAACAUGGUAUCAGAGUCAUGAUUGAAGCCUAUCCUAACGAUUUCUGUUGUCAUUGGGCAUGUUGUUUCACCCGCUAUCGGGCCGUUAUCGGACUAUCCAUUAAAAAAUCUAAACCCACGUUUGAGAUAUAUAUAUCUCGGCGUGAGGGGGUGUGUUAGAAAUCUUACCUCAGCGUGAGGGGAUAUGUGGGGUUGAAUUAGGCUUAUAAUCCACUUCUAACAAACAUAAUAAUAAACUUUGUACUAAAACCUCUUCACCUACAAAACCAGAAAAUCCUUAUUGAGAAAAGGAAAAAGUUUGAAGAACCGAAACCAAUUAAUGUUAAAUUAAUUAUUUUUUUCUGCAGCUCAGUACAUCUGUUCUGUUCUUGAAGUUAUUAAUUAUUUGCUUAGCUGUUCCUCCUCCGGCUGCUAUAUAUUUGAGUAAUGAACCUGACUCAAACCCUCAAGUGAACUCAUUGAAACCGGCAACAUUUGCACACAGAUUUUCUUCUUCUUUGAAAGAAAAUGACGUUGUACAACCCAAUGAUAGAUAGCUGCAAGGGUCUGCCAUCUCUGACGGAUUCCUUGUCUGUAACGGAGACAGUGAAUGGAACACACAAUUUUGAGUUGAAGGGUUACUCUCUAACGAAGGGAAUGGGCGUUGGAAAAUUCAUUGAAAGCGAGACAUUCACAGUAGGAGGGCACCAGUGGGCCAUAUACUUCUACCCAGAUGGCAAGAUCCCCAGUGAUAAUGGUGUUUAUGUUUCCAUCUUUGUGGCCCUGGUUUCCGAGAGCACCGAUGUUCGUGCGCUGUUCGAACUCAAGUUGCACGACCAAAGCGGCAAAGGGAAUCAUUUGGUUUAUAGCCACUUUGGUCGCAGCCUCGAGAAUGGCCCUUACACUAUCAAAAGCCGUGGCUGCAUUUGGUUAGAUAUAUCUUUUUUCUUGUCUCUCAACCUUGUGAUUUUUUGGAUGUAUAUAAUCAGGGAAUCAAUAUUAACUAUUAAUGUUGUUUUAUGAAGUAAUGAUGAAUGUGAUGCAGUGGUUUUUCUGUCUGUGUUAGGGGAUAUAAGCGGUUUUUCAAACGAAAAGACCUUGAGACAUCAACUUUCAUCAAGGAAGACUGCUUGAAGAUCAGUUGCACUGUCGGUGUUCUGGUGAUGUCUGAUUCUUCUACGUUAAACGCAAUUCAUAUUCCUGAAUCUGAUAUAGGAACAGAUCUGGGAAUGCUGUUAGAUCAUGAGGACUUAUGUGAUGUCACUUUCUCCAUUAACGGGGAAAGGUUUCGUGCACACAAGCUUAUUUUGGGUGCUCGAUCAACAGUGUUUGAAACCUGGUUUUCCGAUGGGUUAGGGAAGGAUAAUAGGGAGAUAGUUCUCAAUGACAUGGAGCCUAAAGUUUUCAAGGUAUAGCAUGUGCUACUUAAUUCAGUUUUAAUGUGUAAUCUCAUACCAUUUUUCUUCAUUAUCUAAUGAUUCUCUUGCUUCUCUUAGGCUUUGCUUCACUUUAUAUACAAAGACACUCUGAUGGAAGAUCAAGAGCUGUUUUCGUGGCAAUCAUCAUCGUAUUCUUUGAUACCAGAAUCGUUUCCUGCAAAGUUGUUAGCUGCAUCGAACAAGUUUGCCUUGCCAAGAUUGAAGCUCAUGUGUGAAUCAAUAUUUUGUAGAGGCAUAUCUAUAUAUUCUGUUCCAUAUAUUCUGGUUCUUGCAGAUCGUUAUCAUGCUACUGAGUUGAAGCCCAUCUGUCAAAACUUUUGUGCAGAAAACUAUGAUGGUGAGAUUUGCCACUUAACAUAAGUCUCAAGUUCAGAAUGUUUAAUACAUUAUUUGUUAAUGUUUGAAAGUUAAUUCAAAUGUUGUUUCAUUAUUGUCCGUUGCAGCUGUGGUGAAAUCUGGUGGUUUGGAGUAUAUUAGGCAAAAAUGUCCGUUUUUGCGAGCAGAACUGCAAACUAUUGCUGCUGGUUUGGACAAAUUCAUUGUGCACUAUGCUAGGAAAGAACCAAAUUCAGAAAGAGGUGAAGAAGGUUCAAGCAGUCACAUUUCUGAUGCUGUUAACGAGAACAAUGAUCCAUUAGGGAUUAGUUUUAAGAUUUGUAAUGGUAAAGGAAAUUAGUUGAUUUCAAGAUGAAGAUGUACUCCUGAAAUCAAAACAAAAGAGACAUGUAUGACAUAUCAGAAGACUUUUUAAAUAAAAUUUCACAAUAUUUCCUUUUCUUCAAUCUAUAAUAAUAGAAUUAAUAUAUAAUAUGAACUUUGUUUUCUAGGAGCAUAUUUUUAAACUAAUCUAUUUAUUUGUAAUCAAAAUUUUGAAUAUUGUUCCUCCUUUAGUAUUGUAUUUCAUAAAAUAAUUUCUCAAAGUUAAAUGACCAUUUUAUAUUAUUGGUUUUACUCAGAUUCUUGCUUCAAACAGACAAUAAAUUUAAGGAGUUGAAAACCAAAUUUAUUGAUGUGGAGAAGAUGCAUUAAAUUUUACAUUCGCAGUUUAAAAUUUUUCUUUUGAAUAACAUCACCCAGUUACGUUUUAUUAAGUAUAUAGUGUGUGAUCUUCAAUGACAUAUUUGAUUUAAUUAUCGUUAAUAAUUCAACUAAAUAGAUAUUUCCAUUAGAAUAACAAGAUUUUGCAAGAGAUUAAAGAUCUGGGCAGAAAUAAUGCACAAUCACUAAAAUGGUAGAAUAGUAACUUGAAGAUUAGCAAGGAUCAUAAUGAUAUAUUUUUAGAUCGUUUUGAUAUACUGAAUUAUUCUAAUAAAUUGUGUUUUGAUGCUAAUAAAUAGAAUUAAAUACCAGCUACCUAUAGUUAGCAAUAUAUAAUACUUAAGUAAAUGUUCUAACAUGAACAAGAGUUGCCCACUCUUGUUUUAUCUUCUUUCUGAACCACUGAAAAAAUAACAUAAUUUGAUUAUGUAUAGACAUUAAUAUUUAAAAUUUGAUGUGCUUUAUAAUACGUGAAAAAAAUAUAUUAUUAUCUUAAUUCAAUAUUCACCAAAUUCCUAUUUGAAUUAUGAUUUUUAUCUAAAACAUGACAUAAUAAACAUAAUUAUAUAAUAUUACAAAACUGUCACCAGCUAUUGUCAAAUGAGAUGUGAACAAUGUUUUUUGUGUUAGUGAUUAUAUAUAUUAAGUUUGUGAUUUCUUACUCACAAGAUCUCAUCCUAAGAUAAUUACCAUAGUUAAUCCAUUUUAAUAACAUUACUAAUACACUUUAGUUCCUUGACUUUUGUAAUGGGAAUAACAUUAUCUCAGCCUUGGUUGCUAUAUAUGUCAUAGACACUCAUGAAAUAUGAUGUAGCCGAGAUACUCACUUCCUCAUUUUGACGAUGAUUCUAACAUCAUAGACCUGAUAUCUUUCUUGAAAUAUGAGAUGAUCUCAAGCUUAUCAAGUAUAUGUAUAGAUCAUGUAACAUUAACAAAUUAACAAAGUAGUUUGUUAUAAUUAUUUUGUAUAAAUAAUAAAAAAGUAGAUUACAAUUUUUUUUUUAUGAGUGAAUAUUUACUAUUUUAGACAAAAAAAAUUUCUGUAAUAUCUAAAAUUCUUUUUCAAGAGAAAAAAAUGUUAUUAAUAAUAAAUUUUCUUUAUAAAUUGUAGUUUAUCAAUAUUUUAAUCUAAUUAUGACAUUGUUUUCUAUUGUUUUUCAUAUUCUUGUGUUGGUGUUAGAUAUUAUAAUAUAUAGGAAACUUGAGAAUAAUUUCACACUAACAGGAAUUACCUUUUUUUUUUGUGAAUGUAAAAAAAAUAUAAGAAAAUUGUUUAAACACAUGAUAUUUUGCUAUAAGAGUCUCUGAACAAAGUUAACACCAUUUAUAUUAAAUUGGAUUUUAUUCGCGCUGUACAUAUAAAUUCUUUUGCUAGUUAUUAUUGUUUUACAAAUUUUAUUAUAUUUUUAUUUUAAUUUCAAAAUUUAUUUUGACUCUAGUAGAUAAAUUAUUUAAUAAGAAUACUCUGAUAAUAACUUUUUGCAAUGUAAAUGUUUAAAGAUUUUUUAAUAUUUAAUUAAAUAUAAAUUUUCAUAUAAAAAUAAUUUAAUUAUUUUAUAAAUCUUAAUAUUACCAUAUACUUUUAUAUUAUUUUAUCAAUGAAAUUAUUCACCAUUUAUUUAUUUAAUGUAAACGCUCUAUUUUUAUCACUUUUUUUUUUUUCAAUUCAAACAUGACAUGUAAGACAACUAAUCAGAUAAAGCCUAAAACAUUACAACUGUUCUUUCUUGUGCUUUCAAAUUACAAUUAAUUAAUUAAUUAAUUCAUUUACUACCGAUAUAGUAAAUUACACGUUAUAAUCAGUAUUAUAUACAUUUUAUAUUAUCUCUACAAACUAUUUAAUUUAAUAUAGAUUAUUAAUAUUAUAAUAAUUAUCAUUAUAACUCUCAUUUUGAACAAACAAAACUCAAUAUACUGACUAUUUAUCUCAAUUCUUACAUGAGUUUGUUCUUUUUUUAUAUAUAGAUAAAAAUUUUAAAUACAGUAAAUAUAAAGAAUAAAUAAAAUUUCCUGUCACAUUGUAGAAUUUCGUGAAUAUGAUAAAAUACUAAUUUUAUUAUGAUUGUGAAGCUUUCACUCACCUUUGGGAUAAAAAGAAGCAAAUUAAGGUAAAAAAUAUAAUGAGUUCAAAAACAAAUUUAUUGAUUUUGGGUAAAAUAAACUAAAUUUUACAUUUAUUUUCAAUUUUUUUAAUUUGAAUAGUUGGUUUUCACUCUUAUUAUCAUCCUAUAAUUACAUACUUAAUGCAUUUAUUAAUAAGUAAAAAAAAGUAUACAAUUUUUCUACUAUUAAAUUUAAAAUAAGUUAAUAAACUUAUUUAUUAUUAUUAUUAAACAUCAACCCCUUUUUUAGAAUUUUCUUAAUCUUUUCAUUUGCAAUGAAAAAAUAAUGCUAACCUAAAAUUUAUAUUUUCAAUAAAUUUAUUUUUUCAGUCAUUGUUUUUCUUUUAAAGGUGUUGAUUUGAACUUUCUUGAACUUGACAUACUCAAGAAAGAGAGCAACUGAAAAUACAUUUUUCCAAUGAAUCACUGAAUGAUAUUUUUAAAAUGACGUUAUAAUUAGAAAACAAAUAGAAAAAUGUUAAAUAUAAAUAAGUUGUAAAAUAUUAACGCAUAUAAACUGGGACAAGGAGAAUAAAUAUAUAUAACAUGACAAAAACAGCUAUCAUAUAAAUUUUUUUAAAAAAAGAGACGUUCAAUUAAUUAAAUUUUUACAUGAAAAUAUUAAUUUCUUUUAUUUAUUAAUUAUUUUUCUGAAAACGUUACUAGUUAGUGAUAGACCAUGCGUUUUUUAUAGGUGUUCUGGUGUAGAGUUCAAGAAAUGUAAUAAUAAAUUAUUUUUUGAUUUUAGUAAAAUAUUUAUUAAGUUUCCCAUGUUAUGUGUUUGGUUUCUACAUCACAAUAAAUAUAAAUACAUUAACUAAUUAAAUAUUAAAUGAAUAAAAAAGUAAUUAAUGUUUUUUUGAAUUUGAAAGAUGAUAAUUAAAUAAAAAAUAGUAAUGGAACUGAAAGAGUAUUUAUGUGAAGCUUGUAAGGAAGGUGAGCGAAAAAUCCAGAAUUAUAAUCUCCAUUAGCAGAAGCACAGAUCCAGUUACCAUAAGCUAGAAAAUGGCUGCUACGAAGAAAAACUCCACAAGUUCAGAAUCAGUGACAGAAAUGAUAAAGGGUUCACAUGAGUUCAAGCUGAAAGGUUAUUCUCUGCUGAAGGGAAUUGGAGUGGGAAAAUUUAUUGCAAGCGAGACGUUCAAUGUUGGAGGGUAUGAGUGGGCUAUAUACUUCUACCCUGACGGUGUAGACACCCAAGAACACGCCACAGUUUAUGUCUCGGUUUUCGUUGUGCUCGUUUCCAAUGCUAAUGAUGUUCGAGCGAUGUUUGAAUUCGCCAUGCAUGACCAAAGAGGACAAGAGGAACACUUUGUCCUUGGUCACUUUAAUGACACCCUAGGGACUCAGCCUCACACUUUAUCUAAGGGGGAAAUGUGGUUUGUUUCAUCUAUUGUUGUUUUAACAGUGUUUUUUUCUGCAUUAUUAUGAUGUUGUAUUAUGAUGUUGUGUUUGUUGUGUUUUAGGGGGAUUCAACGUUUUUACAAUCGCUUUCAUCUUGAACACUCAAUGUACCUCAUAGAUGAUUGUCUACAAGUAAAUUGCACUGUUGGGGUUUUGCCUACCAUCCGAGAUAAUUCCAUGACUAUAGAACUUCCUGAAUCUACCAUUGCAACAAGUUUUGGGAUGCUGUUUGAAGAUGAACAAUCAUCUGAUGUUACGUUUUGUGUCGGAGGAAACAAGUUUUAUGCGCAUAAGAUUGUAUUGGCGGCUCGGUCAAGUGUGUUUAAAUCUCAGUUUUUCUGUGGAACUGACAAGGUUGAUAGAGAGAUACUUGUAAAUGAGAUGGAGCCUAAGGUUUUCAAGGUACUAUGUUAUUCAUUUUGUAUUUUCCAUGAUGUUUUAUUCAGUGUUGCAUAUCAUAUCAUAUCAUUGGUUUGGUUUGGUUAUCUAAUUUUACUCUUUGUCAAGGCAUUACUUCACUUCAUUUAUAAGGAUACUCUUAUAGAAGAUGAAGAACUCCAUUUGUCAGUGUCUUCAUCCAUGGCUUCUAUCUCAGAAUGGUAUGUAACAAAGUUGCUGGCUGCUGCACACAAGUACGAUUUACCAAGGCUAAAGUUGAUGUGUGAAUCUGUACUUUGCAAACAUAUAUCUAUAGGUUCUGUUGCUGAGAUUCUGGUUAUUUCUGAUUGUUAUGAUGCCACUGAAUUGAAGUUCAUAUGUCUGCAAUUUUCAGCAGAAAACCUUAAUGGUGAGUGUUCUUGCUUAGUUGGUUGUUGUUUGACAAAAUCAUUUGAUUGUGAUGUGAUUUCUGUCAUUUUGUAGCUGUGCUGAAAUCUAAUGGUUUCAAGCAUCUUAAGGAAAAGUGUCCACAUCUUCAAUUAGAACUGCUAGAGACUGUGGCAGCAGGAAUUGGGUGUGUCAGUGUUGACAGUGAUGCAACGACACCUGAGCCAAAUGAAAUAGAAGCUGAGAACACAAGUUAUUAUCCUUCCAGCGACGAGGAAAACCAUCUGGGUUGGUAGUACAAACAAAACUAAAACACAGUAAUGUUUGUCAUUCUGCAAUGUUGUAAUGCUCAAUUUAUUUACUUACUUUUAUAAUUUUAAUGUCGUUAUUGUCUUAUUUUAUGUCUUUAUCUUCUUUUAUUUAAAUUGGCAAAAAUAAGACCUAUGUUUCUUGUAAUUUUCAGUUCAGAAAAUAUAACUUAAGUCUUUGGUUAUUCAUUUUAAGAAAAUAGUUUACAAAACAUUAUUUCAAACAACACACACACACACUGAUUAUUGUAUUUCCAUUACUAUUAUUUUAAAUAAAUUGUUAAAUAACACUAAAUAGCUAUAAAGUUCUUAAUUUAGAUUAGCACAAUUUAUAAAAUCUAUUUAAAGAAAAUAGUAAUAAUAAAUAAUAUACAGUAUAUCCCUUCUAGGGCUUAAAUAAAGUUCUACUUUAUUAUAAAGUCGGUUGUUUAGAUCAGAAUUACUUAGUUGGAAAUGGGAGGUUAAUGAUUUUUAUUUUUACAUUUCUAUUAGGAUUUAAGCAAUAGAAUUUGAUAAAGAAGUAAAAGAUUUAAGUCUUCUGACUGUUAUGUUUUUCUCACUUUAUGAAUGGAUUUAAUAGUUUAAACUUGUAUUUCUUUUCAUUCAAUUCACGGGUUCAGUAUAUCUAUCAUCAUAUCCAAAAGAGUUUUAGUCUUAGUUGUUUAAGAGAAACUUUCUUUUUGCCAAAUUCUUGUAUUUUAAAUUCUUUAUAUGUAGCCAUAAGUUCUUCGAAAUUUUUUUAUUAUCAGUUCAUAAAGAUAUUUGUAAAUUUGUUGAAAAUGAAAGUACUAUGAGUAGAGCUCACAAGAGGACGAGAAAUGUGUUUCUUUAUUUUAUGUAUAUUUCUAAAAGAAAUUCAUUUUUAUUCCUAUACUUAAAUAUAAUGGAUAUAAAAUUUUUAUCUUAUUUUUAUUUUUAUAAAGUAACGUUACGCACUCGUAUUUAUAUUCAUAUUUUUUAGGGUUAAAUAUGUUUUUAGUCGCUAUACUUUGAGGCAAUUUUGGUUUUAGGUUUUAGUCCAUUUUCAAACUAUGAUACAAUUUAGUUCUUCAAUUUUAGAAAACUCUGGUUUUAGUCUUUUUUACCAAAAUUUUUUAACUUUAUUUGUUGUUUCAAGCACGUUUUAUUAUAGUAUUUGGAUUGUUUACACUGUUUGACACAUUUUUACUUCAAUGUUAACUGAGAAAUGCGUUUGAAAUAAGUUAAAAAAAUUUGGUAAAAAGGACUAAAACCAAAGUUUUCUAAAGUUGAAGGACUAAAUUGUACCAUAGUUUGAAAAUGGACUAAAACCAAAAUCGCCUCAAAGUAUAGGGACUAAAAACAUAUUUAACCCUAUUUUUUAUUAUUUCUUUAGAUAUAUUAUUUUUAUCUUUUAUCUUUAGUUAGUUUGUUAUUAUUUCUUGUUUAUAUUUUGGACUUAGUUCAUAUUUCUUCUAUUAUAAAUAGAGUAUUCAUGUAUAUUCAACAUAAGGGGAAUUAAUUUUAUACAUAGUUUUGACUAUAUUCAACAUGGUAUCUAGAGCUUAGGAUUUUUUUGAGGAAAAUUUUUUAUUGCUUCUGCAAUUACACUGGUCGUUGCCCGUGACGACACUAUCUAUUGUUGUUGGCAACACUAUCUAUCAUUGUCGGCGGUGUCGUCGCUUAUCGUCGUUGUCUACCAUUGUCACAACUGAAAUUUCAGUUUCGAACAAUGAUCACACAUUUUUCAUUAGAGCUCAUGCACGCUUUCAGCACCUUUUAAAGUUGUAGAUUUGCUCUGAAACCAAGAAAUUUUCUCGCAGCCACUCUGAAAAUGCAUUUGUUCGGGUUCAGAUUCAUUAUGUACUUGUGGACCUUCUCAAAUACUUUGGAUGGGUCCUUAACAUGGUCUCAACUGAGCGGCUUCAGACGAUCAUUAUCGUCAACAUAAACAUCCAUGCACUUCUCUAUUUGCUGACGGAAGACUUUGUCCAUUAAUCGUUGGUAUGUGGCACCUACAUUCUUAAGUCUGAGCGACAUAACAUCAUAGUAGUAAUUUUCUCGUUCGGUUAUGAGAAUCGUUUUCUUGCAAUCGGGAAGGAACAUGGGAAUCUGGUUGUAACCAAAAUAAGCAUCCAGGAAACUAAGUACUUAGUAGCCGGAGGCCCUAUCCACUAGGCCAUCUAUACUUGAGAGAGGGUAGGCGUCCUUGGGGUACGUCUUGUUGAGGUCCGUGAAGUCCAUGCACAUUCUCCAUUGGUUAUUCGCCUUUUUCACCAUCACUAUGUUGGCUAACCUAGUAGUAUACGUAACUUCGCGAAUAAAGUUGACCUACAAGAGCUUUUUGACUUCAAUGUCCAUCGCACAUCCCUUUUCUUUACCCAACCUCCUCUUCUUUUGCACCACCAAACGUGCUUCUUUGAAUAAAGCUAGUUUAUGUGACAUUACGUUGGGAUGUAUGCUAGGCAUGUCAGCGGCAAUCCAUUCAAACAUAUUAGUAUUGGCUAUUAACACUUUGUCCAAAGCGCACUCCUGGUUAUCUAUUAAGCUUAUCCCAAUGGACGUUAUUUGUCUUUCCGUCCUUCCUAGACUGAAUGAUUUUACCUCCUCGAAGGGUUCAUCUGGUCCUCAGUAUUGGUAUGAGGGUCUAGGUCAUCAUUGGUACCUCCAAGCGCCUGAUCUUUCGGUGGGGGAUGAAGGGUUCAAAUUUCAACCCCUCCAUGUAACAUUCUCUGGCUAUCUUCUGAUCAGCCUGUAUGGUACAGAUUGUUCCCCUAUCAGAUGGAAAUUUCAUGGCUAGAUGAGAGGUUAAGACGAUCGCCCCCAAAGAAUUCAAACACGGUCGAUCGAUCAAGACGUUGUAGGAAGUGUUUGCUUCUACCACGAUGUACCUUACCCUCAACUCUUUCGCAUCCCUGUCUGUCCCCGAUUGUUUCUUCAAAUCAACAUAUCCUCGAGUAUCUACCCACUCGCCCAUAAACCAGAUAAUUUGCUCGCUAUACGGGACGAUCAGAUCAUUUGACAAAUCCAUCUUCUGGAAAGUUUUCUAGUAGAGGAUGUUAACGAAGCUUCCUUGGUCAGUAAGUACCUUGCUUACACUCUAUCGGGCUAUUUCCACAAUUAUAACCAUCGAGUCAUCUUGAUCGGGAUCUGGGACAUGGAAAUCCCUACUCGUGAAGGUAAUCAGAAGCAUUGAUCGUUGUUUCUUAUCCACAAGGUGGACGGUCUUCAGGCCUCUUAGGUGUCGUUUGCGGGCGGACGAGGAUGACCCUCCACUGGAAAAUCUCCCAGAGAUUGUGUUUAUAUGGUCACACAAUAGGCAGUCACAACUUUGACUUCGGCUCCAGCUUCAGCGUCGAUUAUCGUAUCGACGUUCGUCAUGCCUUUAGAGUCAAUCAGGGCUUGUUCUACGCCCAGGCUUCUUACGACACGUUCAGACUUAACAUACUUUUGUAGAUGCCCUGCCCGGAUGAGGUCUUCUAUCUUGUCUUAGAGUGUGGAGCAUUCCUCAAUUGUGUGCCUGAGGUUCUAAUGAUACUUAUAGUGUUUCUUACAGUCGACAUUUCUCGUGGAUGGCAUCUUCUUGAGAGAGGGAAGGAGGUCAACGUUUAAUGCUUCUUCUAUAAUUCUAACCCGUUGAGCGUUCAAAGGAUUGUAUUGAUUGGAUUUAGAAGCCCAGUCAAGAACUUUUGGUUUCGAUCCUCCUCCUUUGUCAUCCCCACUAAGCCGUUUUUUGUCGUCCUUCAUGUCUCCUCUAAUAAAAUGAGGCUAAAGUCCUCUUGUUGUUUUUUUUUCGAAAGGUGUGGAUCUCUUUUAUAUGCAUGAACUCAACUACUUUCUCUUGUAACUCAUCCAUGAUCUUUAACAGCCUUGCACACAAACUAACUCAGACAAAAACACAACUAAGCCAAAUCGGUUCAACCAACACGACUAGUACAGCCAACACAAUUAUCACCAUUGGAUUAUUCUAAUAUAUAAUUUACUAAUAUAUAGUUUUAAUAGAAAAACAAAAUAAGCAGUCCUAUAUUCUAUUAGUUUAUUAAAAUAAAAAUAAAAUAAAUUGUUAUUGUGUUAUAUAAGUGAUAUAUUUUAAAUAUAUAUUUACAAACAUUAAUUAAUAUAGAUAUGUUGUGCGCGUGUACGCGAACCAUAACCUAGUCCUAUUUUUCACAUGGGGUGUUAGGAUUUUUCUUUGUCUGUCUAUGGAAGAUAUGAUCGUCCCAAUCCACUUGUGGGAUAUGUUAAAAUUGUUGGAGUGCAAACAAAGUUCCACAUCGAGUAGAAGAAGGGCUGGUCAAAGGUUUAUAUGCACAUAGAUACCUCCAAUGAUAAGAGACCUUUUGGAGUGGUGCCAAAAGCAAACCGUGAGGGCUUGGCCCAAAGCGGACAAUGUCUUACCAUGUGUGGAGAUCUAUGUGUGUGUCGAACCUCCCCAACAGUGGUAUCAGAGCCCAUGUUUCGGGUCUGGUGACCGGGCUCAAACGAGUACGCCCUCCCAUGAUCAGGUGAGCCAGGCAGGUAGCCAGUGGCGGAUCGUCGAAUGAAUCAUGAGAGGUGGGGAGAGCAAGAAAUGCUCAAGUGUUGUGACCAUGGAUCGUGAAAGAGGGCAAAAGAGAAAUGCUCCGCAUUGACCAUGGUGUACUCGGGAUGAAAAGACCAUAAAACUUCCGCAGCGAGGGAGGAAGGAGACCAUAGUCCUUUGUUUGAGGGAGGAUGUUGGAGUGCAAACAAAUUUCCACAUCGAGUAGAACUUCUGCAACGAGGGAGGAAGGAGACCAUAGUCCUUUGUUUGAGGGAUGAUGUUGGAGUACAAACAAAUUCUCACAUCGAGUAGAAGAAGGGCUGGUCAAGGGUUUAUAUACACAUAGAUACCUUCAAUGGUAAGAGGCCUUUUGGAGUGGUGCCAAAAGCAAAACCGUGAGGACUUGACCCAAAACGGACAAUGUCUUACCAUGUGUGAAGAUCUAUGUGUAUGUCGAACCUCCCAACAAAAAUAAGGGUAUAUUAAUUUAUUGUCAUUAUUCCUAAUUAAUAUUUGUUAUAACAUUCUGUCUUUCAAUAGUUUAGGUUAUUUUUAUUUUUUGGUGUGAGACUAUAAUCUCGUUUUAAUUUUCAAAAUAAAUUUCGCAGUGAAUAAAAAUAUUUUUGUUCAAAUUUCCUAAAAUUUGGUAUAAUUAUCAUUAAGUAAAUAAGUGCCAGUUCUUAAAAGAAUGUUAUUUUUUUCAUUUUAAAAUUUUAAGAUAAUAUUUUUUCUAUUAUACUUCUAAAUUUAAUUAAUAUAAAGAAAAGGAAAAGUUAGUAGUAAUGUAAUAGAAAAAGGUUUUAAAUAUGUUCGUUGUUCUUAAACUUUGAUAAGAAUUCCUUCUAAACUUAAUUUCCAAAUUAUUAAAAUCAAUAAAUAUAAUUCUUUUAACCCAAAGAUAUAUUAGUUAUUUUAUUUGUUAAAUAAUAUUUUAAUUAAUAUUUAAAUUAAAAUCUAUUAAAUAAUAUAAACAACUGAAAUGAUAAUUUAAAAUAUUAUUUGACAUGUAAAAAUAUAUAAAACAAUUAAUUUAAAAUAAUUAUAUCUAUUCAAUUUUGAAACUAGAAAAAGAAAAUUAUAUCAAAAUUUUAAAAAAAAUUAAAUUCAUACCAAAAUUUAGAAACUAAAACAUAUUUAUCCAUAAAUAAAUACAAUAACUCAUAAAUAUACACUAGAGUUAUAAAACUGAAAUAAAGUAUAAUAAAUAACUUUCUUACUUACUUGUAUAAAUAAACAAAUUUUGAUUUGUGAAGAAUACAUUGAAUGAAAGACUAUAUAACUCACCCGUUUCAGAAUACAAUCAAUAAAUAACUAAUUGCAUUAGAUACGUUAUGCUAGACUUAAUUCUUAAUAAUAAAUUCCAUUUAUGAUUUAAACAAUGAAUAAUAAUUAAAAUCAUUUCAUGUUAUGUAUGAUUUUGAAAUUUAGGCAACGUUUAUGUGGCACAAUAGGAAUUAAUAGAAGUUAUUGUUCAGUGUCAGUUUUUCAUACAAGAGAAUUAUAUUUAAAGAACAUUAAGUUUAACUUUUAAUUUUAUUUUUAACCCUCUUUUCUCAUUAUUUAAUCUAUUAUAAUUUCUAGUUAGUUGAUUGUCAAAAAAUGUAAAAAUGUAUACAAAUUAAAUUUUAUAAAAGUACUUUACUGAAUAUGUAUAUUAAGAAUUUAAAAUAUUAUGCAGGUCUAAAAACAUAUAUUACUUUUAGUAAGCUAAAUUCAUCAAGAUUAAGGUAUACAAGUUUUCUCAAAAUUCAAAUUCAUCAUACAUAAUUAAUUGAUAUUACUUUUAGUAAGCUAAAUUCAUGAUGAAAUUGUUGCACUAGUCUAACUAGAUUAGUCUAACAUGAAAUUUUACAACAAUGGUAAAAUAUGUCCAUUAAAAGAAGAGUCGUAAUCUAAAGUUUGUUAAUAAGAAUAAGAAUUAUUUUAAAAUGCGGGAGUUUAUUAUAUAUGAACAUAACACAAAAGUUUAAAAUACAUGCUAAGAAUUGGUGGCAAUAAUUAAUUUUACUUUUAUAGUGUAUACACUCUUGAUUUAUUCUUUUAUCACUAAUUGGUCAACUAGGAACUAUUUGGAAGUGUGGCAACUCUACCAUAUGAGGGAAUCCAAGCAAUUAAAAGCUCAACAAAGUCAACCAAUCAUUUUUGUAUCUCAUUUUAUUGUUUUUCUUAUAUAAAUAGAUUUAUUUUUUUUUUCUUAUUUAAUGUCCAUUUUAUCUAAUUUAUAAUGUAACAUAUAAGGAAAUUUCUAAUCUAUAGAGGGUAAGAAAGAGGGUUGUAUACUUUUUGAGAAGUGUAUCUCUCUUUAACCGUAAUAAAUAGGUAAAAUGAGAGAGAUGACUUAAUAAUUAAUUUCUUAAUUGAGUAUUAAAUAAUUCAUAAAUUUGAGUAUUUUUAAUUACAUUUUUAUUAAUUUUUGUUUAUUAAAUACUUAAAUUUUUUCUAUUUUUCAACUGAGCUUCUAUCCUUUAAUUUUUCAGUUAAAUAAAUAAUGUAACUGUUGUUUUAUUUUAUCAUUUUCCUCAAUUGUAAAAUGUGAUAUUUUAUAAUUAAUAUAAUACCAUAUUAUAAUUAAUGAAAAAUAAAAAGUAUUUUUUAUUAUUUUUAUAAAAACAUGUUUGAUAAGCAAGGAUUAUCGUUGUCACUUAUAUAAAUAAUAAUAUUAGUUCUAUUAAAAUGGGUUAAAACCCGUAAGUCAAUCUGGCUUACCACGAGUUUAGAUUGUAUUUAGUUGAAAAAAAAAUUAAAAUUUUAAUACAGACUAGUUUUAAACUUGAUUUACUAAGAACCAUACUCAUCUAGAUUGAACUUGUGGUGAGCUAAGUUGACUCAGUAACUCACAUAAUUUUUCUAAUAAGUACUUUUUGUUAGGUUAGUCAUUUAACAAAAUAUUGAAAGAGAGACUCAUUUGAAACUAUUUUUAUAUGAAAUAAUUAGACAAGAAAAAUUUAUAAAUAUAUACUUACUAACUCAAUUUUUAUGCACAAACAAAUUUGAAUCGCUAUGAAGUCAAUAAAAUUUUUGUUGAUUAGACUUUUUGAUAUCUUUGUGUGAAUGAAAUCUUAUGUUUGUUUGAUCAUAAAUCUAAUUUAAGACUUUUCCCUUUUAUUUAUAUUUGAAUUAGAAAAUUUUUGUUAGUUUUUUUAAAUAGAAAAAGAAAAACGUGUAAUUAAGUCAGUCAAUUUGUUUAACCCAUCAAUCCGUAGUGGAAUGAAUCAAAUUCAUAUUUUUUUAGUUCGCUAAUAAGUAAAUUGAGUUAGGUUGGUUCACUAAAUAGCUAAGUCAUGAUAGAUCGAGUCGGGUCGGGCCGAAUGACCAUAGUUCUAAACAACGUAAUGAAGAUCUCUUAAUUAUUAUAAGUGAUGAUGUAAAAUAUAUAAAAAGCAUGUUAUGUGAAAAUGAAGGAAAAACAUGAAAAAAGAAUGAAGUAUUUGUAUGUCAAAAGAAAUACUAAAGAAGUUAUACAUGGAGAAUUGCAAAAGCAUUUAUACACCAAUAAACAAAAGUAAAAAUUGAGCAAAGAUUAUGGAGCCAAUAAGGUGGAUGAAUAUUAUUAUAUAAGUACAAUUGGUUAAUAUAAUCUUUUAUGUAAGCAUUUUUUUUUUAAAUUUUAUGCAGUGUACUAGUAAGGUCCAAUUUAAAGUUCUCAAACUGAUUGUGAUAUAUUUUAAGAGAACUACAAAAUCAUGGCAUUAAGUUCACGCACUCUCAAAAUUUUCAGUUUCAAAAAGAUAUUUUAAUAGUGACUGGGUUACCACUCUUAAAAAGGCAUAAAAAUACUAUUUUCCAAAUGGGGGAGUGUUUUUCCUUGCACCUUCCUACAUUUCUCCAUGCACUACCACAUUUAAAAAAUAACCUAAUAAAAUAAAAAAAAAAAUUUCAAUGAAUUUCAAAAUUCGUUGAAGAAAAAAAUCGUUUAACGAAUUUCAAAAUUUGUUGAAAUUUUUUUUAAAGUUUCAACAGAUUUCGAAAUUUGUUGAAGAUUUGAAAAAUCCUUCAAUGGAUUUCGAAAUCCAUUGAAAAAUUUUUUCUUCAACGAAUUUCAAAAUCCGUUGAAGAAAAGAAGUGGGGUGUAGGGUCUUUUGAAAUAUACAUGAUAGUUUUGAAAUUUUUAAAAAAUGUGGGAGUGCAAGGAGAAAUGUUCAAGGAAAAAUGUGGGGUGGUGUAGGGAGAGAAACACUCCCAAAUGGGUUGGAAUCUGUGAAUCAAUCAGACUCACCACAAGUUCAGACCAGGUUGUGUUGAAAAAAAAAAUUAAAAUUUCGAUAAGGGCCAAUUUUGAACACACCUUAUUUUGGUUGACCUAGGUUGAACCCAUGGUGAGUCGAGUUGGCUCACCAACCCACUUAAUUUUUCUAAUAAAUACUUUUUGUUGGAUUAGUCAUUUUAAAAAAUAUUGAAAGAGAGACUUGCAUGAAAUUAUUUUUAUACGAAAAUAAUUAGGCAACAUGAAAAUUCACAAAUCUAUAUUUAUUAACUCAAUUUUUAUGCAGAAAAAAAUUUGAAUUACUAUAAAGCCAUUAAAAAAAGUUGAAGAGAUUUUGUAAUAUCUUUGUGUGAAUGAAAUUUUAUGUUUGAUUAAUCAUAAAUCUAAUUUAAGACCAUUUUCCUUUAUUUAGAUUUAAAUUAGAAAAGUUUUGUUAUUUUUUUUUUAAUUAAAAAAUAGUUGUAAUUAUCAAAUUAUUUUUUUAAUUAAAAAUACUUGUUAGCGAACUCAUUUAUCCCAUCAAUGAUGAGACAAUUAAGUUCAAUUUUUUUUUUUGAUUCACUAAUAAGUAAAUCGAAUUGGAUUAACUCACUAAGUAUCAAAUUCAUGAUAAGUCAGAUGAUCCAUUUUGACAUCACUUUAUAAAAAACACACUAGCUUAUAGUUUUAGCUUUGGUACAAAUAUAUUCUCUUGGUUUUAAAAGAAACAAGGCAUUGUGGAUCAAAGCACAAUGAAGACAUAAUGUGAAUCAAGCUACUUGGUUAAGGCAUAUAUACUUCCUAAUUUACAUAAAUAUAAAAUAGAAAGAUUUUAGUGAAUAAUCGAGCGACUAUUCCCAUUUCAAAUAAUUUUGAUUUUCCGGAUUAAACAUUUUAAGAUCAAAUUGUCUUUUUGAAGAGAAGCACAAAGAAAGGGUAAAGUCAAAUUACUUUACUAGAUAACUGAAUAUCAAAGUGCGUGUAUUUUAACAAAAGUCCUCCCAAAGUCAGAUUUUAAGUUUUAGAAGUAAGUUAUUACAGUUAUUUAGGUAAAGAAGAUAUUUGUUAAAAUUGUGCCUAAUAACAACAAUUAUUCAAUUUGUUUUUAUAUUCCACUGUUUGGAUUCGUCAAUUGUUCAUGAUUUAUUAAAACUUAAUUAUGUCUAGAAACAUGAGAUAUUAUGAUAAAGCAUAAAUGAAAAAAAAAAUAAACGAAGCAUGAAUUAUUCUCUCCAAACAUAAUUUUGCACGCCCUUUCUUUAAUUUAUUUAGUGUUAUUUCAACCAAAAUAACAAAUUACACAUAUUUCAACAAGCAUAAAAUAUACAACGCACUCAUUUCUUAUUAGAACUAAUCAUCUACCUUCACAUCAACCAACAAAAUUUGUUAAUUGAAUAAAUUUUAUUUCGAAUAAAAAUAAAACAAAUAAAAAUAACAAUUUAUAAUAUAUAAAUAAAUACACGAAGUUAAUUAGAUUUAAAAUUUACUUAUUAAUAUAAUUAUGAAUUUAAGUUUAUCUUAUCAAGAUUUUUUUUUAUUGAAUAUAGGGUUAAAUAUGUUUUUAGUCCUUAUACUUUGGAACAAUUUUGGUUUUAGUCUACUAAGGUACAAUUUAGUCCUAACUUUAGAAAACUAUGGUUUUAGUCUUUUUUACAAAAAAAUUUUAACUUUAUUUGCGGUUUCAAACGCGUUUCUCAAUUAUCAUUGAAAUAAAAAUGUGUCAAACAGUGUAAACAAUCCAAAUGCUAUAAUGAAAGGUGCUUGAAACAAUAAAUAAAGUUAAAAAAAUUGGUAAAAAAAUCUAAAACCAGAGUUUUCUAAAGUUGAAAGACUAAAUUGUACCUUAAUUUGAAAGAAUGACUAAAACCAAAAUCGUCCCAAAAUAUAGAGACUAAAAAUAUAUUUAACCAUAUUGUAUUUUAAAUAAAAUAUAAAUUUGAACGGUGUAGAUGAAUCAAGCAAAUAAGGACAAGAUGAAAAAAAAAAGUAUUGAAUGAAUUAAUAAAUAAGGUAUUUAAUACCAAUUAAUAUCUCUUUCAAAACGAACACAAAACAUUAAACUUUGCUAUUAAAUCAUUAAUUUAAAUCAUUAAUUAUCUGCUCCUUCUUAUCAUUUUGUGGGCAUUACUUAAUUGAAUGAAGGUUGAGAAUGAGAAGACAGUGAGAGAUCUUGCAGAGAAUAGGAAGAUGAUGACGGGAGAGCGUAGGAGAAGUGUGAAUUCAUGGAGCAGUUCUGAAUCGGUGACAGAGACAGUGUUAGGGACUCACAUGUUUGAAAUAAAAGGGUACUCUUUGACAAAGGGAAUGGGCAUUGGAAAAUGCAUUGCGAGCAAGAAGUUCACCAUUGGAGGCUACGAGUGGGGCAUACAGUUCUACCCAGAUGGCAAAUACUCCAAAGAUAACUCCUCUUAUGUUUCUCUCUUCAUCACACUCUAUUCCAACGCCAUUGAUGUUUCCACCUUUUAUCAGAUCAUCUUGCUCGAUCAGACACCAAAACGAAAACGCCAUGCUGCUACCCAUUACGAUCACUCUUUCGAAUGUGGACCCUGCGUUUUCAAAACCCGUGGCAGCAUGUGGUUUGUUUCUCUCUCUUCUUUCUCUUCUUUCUUGCAUUUUGGAUUCAUCAAUAAUCAUGCACUGCUUUUGUUUUCUGUGUUAGGGGUUAUAACCGCUUCUGCAAUCGGAAAGAUCUUGAGGCUUCAGGUUUUCUCAAGGAUGACUGCUUGAAGAUUGAGUGCACUAUUGGUGUUGUGGUGACAUCCUGCAGUGAUUCUUCCAAGUUAAAAAAAAUACACGUUCCUGAUUCUGGUGAUAUGAGGGAACACUUCGGGAUGCUGUUAGAUUCUAGGGCUUAUUCUGAUAUUACUUUCUCAGUUAGAGGACACAAGUUUCAUGCUCAUAAGCUUGUAUUGGCUGCUCGCUCAAAACUCUUUCUAACUGAGUUUGUUAAUGGGAGGGAGAAGGAUGAACAUGGUCACAUACUUGUUAAUGACAUUGAACCUAGGGUUUUCAAGGUAACAACACAUUGCUUAAAAUAUAUUAAACUACAUAUAAACAUUAUAUUUUUUUUCCAAAUACAUAUACAUCAUUUAUAUUUGGAAGAAGUUUUUCAAAAACUAAAAUUAUUUAAAUCAUAUCUAAAUAUGUAUGGGAUGAGUUAACAAAUAUUGUCUAUCCAGAGUAAAAUAUUAAUUUCAAUUUUUUAAUUAUAAAACUCUAAUAAAUAAUUUUCUAGCUUAAAACAUUAAAAAAUGAAAUAAAAAUUAUUAACCUACAUUACCAUAAUUUUUAUAUUAAUUUUUAUUGAAGACCUCCAAAAUUGUUAGAUAUAACCUAUUUACAGUAUCAUUUGCUUGGUUAUCUAAUGUUUCUUGUGACAUUGUUGAACAGGCUUUGCUUCAUUUUAUUUAUAGAGACUCUCUAAUACAUGAUAAAGAGCUUUAUAAGUCACGUUGGUCACCGUAUUCUUCGGUAUCUGAAACUUUUGCUGCAAAGUUGUUAGCAGCUGCAGAAAAGUUUGAUUUAUCAAGACUUAAGCUGAUGUGUGAAUCUGUACUGUGCAAUGAUAUAUCUACAGAUACUGUUGUCAAUAUUCUACUUCUUGCUGAUCGUAAUCAUGCAACUGAAUUGAAGUUCGCCUGUCUAAAAUUUGCUGUUCAAAACCUUCAUGGUGAGUUUUCCUACUCAACUCUACAUUAUAGAGUUUAUAAACAAGUUUUUAGGUUGUGCUAUAUUUUAAUCAUUUUUUGGCAGUGGUUUUGACAGCACUUCAGAUGUAUAACAGUUGAUGCUCAUAUAGUUUUUUCAUUAUUUUGGCUGUUGCAGCUGUCAUGCAAUCUGACUGUUUCAAAUAUCUUACUCAAGAGAAUCCACUGUUGCAAGUUGAACUGCUCAAAACUUGGGUAGAAUGCAAGGAACCAUUUAUUGGAAAACGAAAAUAUGAAACUUUGAAGACCCAGUCUCCAGAUGAUGAUCAUUAAGGGCAUAUCAAUGUAAUACAACAAACUUUGGAAAAUUAGUCCUAGGAUGUGAAAGUUUGAUAUUGGAUGUGAAAGGUUGAUAUUGUGUUUGGAUGAAAAAUGUUUAAAGCAUAAUUUACUUUUAAAUAUUUUAUGAUGAAUUAAAUAUUUUAUGAUGAAAUGUUAACUCAAGAUUGUUUAAGGAUUUUUUAUUUUGAAGUUUAACAAAAACAUUUAAUAAAAUAAUAUAUAUCAAUAAGAUCGUUUAAGACAUCGCACUAAUUAAUGCAAUAUAUGUUUACACAAUAUCUUAAACUCAAUAUAUUAUAAAUGUUAAAGAGAACACACUAGCAUAAAUAUUGUAUUAAGCUGGACUACGUUAGAUGUUAUGAUAAAUCUUUAACAUUUUAAUCGUAAUAUACCAAUACUAUUUUUUAUUUACUCUGUAGUUUUUCUUUACAUAUGUAGAUCCUUCAAGGACAAUAUAUUUUACUUCUAUGCUGAUUUAGAAGAACAUUAAGAGUUACGAAGACAUUAUAGGAAUGUUUGUUUCAUGCUUUCUAAUAGAUCAAUCCGUACAACGACUUAGUAUCCUCCACAAAAACAAAGUAGUAUUUGACCUCGUUACCAAGGCUAUAACACCUUUUUCAAAAUUAAUGUUUCAAAGUAACAAAUCUAUUUCGAAGAUGUCUAUAUAUAGAAAAAUGUAUGAAAAAGAGAAGAAUAACAAUCACAUAACACUUCAUCCUUGUAGCUUCCUAAGGAGAAAUUGAUUAGGAGUUGUUUAUUGACAUUUAUUUCUCCCCCUUACUUGUCCAAGUAAGCUUAUAAGGUUUGGCAUGAGGAAUGGUUUCUAGCUACGUUUGCACUACUUCCUCCAUCAAUAACUAAAGAGCAAACUUUAUUGCUAAUGAGGCAUCUAGUAUAGAAAAUGUUUUCUCUGAGUUGGUUCAAGCUCCUUUGAAACUUAACCUAGCAUGCGCAUCACUACCAAAAGAUCUCCCUCAAAAGGUUUAGUAUCAAUUUUACUUGAGUAAGAAGAGUCUUCUCUUGAAAGAGAAGGGAGAGAUGAGUGUUCACUAUUUACCUCACCAUUUAUCUUUAAGGGAAUGGUCCUCUUGGUUGGGCAAUUCAAAGCAAUGUGCCCAUAUCCUAAAUGCUUAAAACAUUUUAUGGAACUUGACUUUUGAGAAGUGGAAUGAUGAGUGUAACCACUUGGUGACUUAUUUCUAGAUGCUAAUUCUUGGUGAGGGACUUGGAUGGGGAUUUAUCAUGUUUCUCUUUAUCUUUUCGCUUCCAUGAUUGACUAUACUAGUAGUUGGGUGAGUAACUCCUCCUUGCCCCUCCUUUUCUUUUCAAUUGAAUUCAAUCCUUAGGGCAAGGUGUAAAACAUUUUUAAGAGUGAAGUAAUCAUACAAAUUUACUUGGUCUUGCAUGUAUUCCUUUAAACCACUUACAAACAUAAUUAUUUUCUCUAUUAGAUUCUUCUAAUUCAACCUUAUGCAUUAGAGACUCUAACUCUUUAAAGUACUCAUUCACACAUAUAUAUGCCUUUGGUGAAGCCUUUGGAGCUUCAAAAGGAGUUCUCUCCUAUAGUAGGAAGGAACUUAUCUAACAUGCAUUUAAACCUUAAUGUCCAUCCAAGAGGCCGUGGUGACCUUUGGUAACUGUCCUUACAAACUUUAUGCCACCAAGUCAUGGCAUAAUCCUCAAAUCCUACCAUUACUAGAUCAUCUUGUGCUCUUUACAUGAUUUAUAUUUAAAAUUUGUUCAACUUUAACUUCCCAAUCAAGGUAGACUUUGGGGUCAAUUUCACCAUAGAACUUAGUAAUCUUUGGAGCUUGCUUAGAGUUCCUUUUAUCUCCAUGGUAGCUCCGUUCUUCUUGUGAGAUAUUGGGUGAAUAAGAUCUUUUCCUUCUUCUCCUAGCUUCUUCUCUAGCUUCUUUGUGUUGCCUCUCUAAUCCAAGUCUUUGGAUGGCGUCCUUUAGUUGUCGUUCACUUUCAUGCAUUGCCUCUCUUAUUUGUCUUUCACUUUUUUUACUUGACACCUCUAUUUCCUUGAGAAUUUGUGCUAAGGUUUUUGUCACCAAUGUCUUGUCUUUGCUUGGAGUAUGUGCAUUUGAUGAUCUUACCAUCACUAGUGCAAAAACGUUGUUUAACGUCACCCAUCAGACGUUGGUUUCGUGAUAAACCGACGUCUAUUAUUGCACGGUGGCAUUAUCGUAAAUAUAUUGGUAAACUAGACGUCCGUUUCGAUGUUAGGCGACGUCUAUAACAUGAUAGACGUCGCACCUGCCUCAAACCGACGUCAAAUUGCCUGAGGUAUGUGAUAAGACAGACAAUUCGACGUCAUCUAGAAAAGGGCACCGACGUUCCAGUCUCUGACAGGAAAUCAAACGUCAAACGGUUCAGCUUCAGACGAGGAAUAGACGUCGGAUCCCCUGAACAAGCGACGUCGACUGGGGCUACAAUUAAUGCUAUUCACCAAAUUCCUAGGCGCUUAGACGUCACGUAGUCAAACGGCAACGUCUAAGGCCUAUCUGGAAGGCGGGAAGACAAAAAUCCUUCAAUUUAGACGUCAGUUCGGAACAUAAUCGAUGUCUACAUUCCUGUAAUUGAUUAUUUUCACCAAAUUUGAGGGUUUUAGUCGUCGGCUAGGAGGGGCACCGACGUGAAUUAUCCUGACAGGAAAUCAAGCGUCAAUCUUUUCAGUUUCUUUAAGAAGAAUAGACGUCGGAUCCCGAUCAAACACUAACGUCUAUAGACGUCGGUUUCUGGCGCAACCGACGCCCAAUUUCAUUUUAAAUAAACCGCAAACCCUUCUAACCACUCAGCUUCUGAUCACGUCUUCAUCUCUUCUCCUUUUACUCUGGUUCUCCUCUUCUUUUACUCCCUUGCGCACCUCUACUUUUUAUCUCUUCCGGCAUUGCAUUGUAUUUUGUCAUAACGUCAUUGUCUUCGUCCUCUCCUUUUUCUCUCUUCAUCCCAGGUGCGUGGUUUUUCUUAUGCUUACCGUUUAAACUUUCUUUAGUUUUUUAUCGAUUAUCUUGUCGUUCAACUGAUUAAUAUUUUUUUUGUGUUGUGUUUUAGUGCAGUUUUGAUCCACUCUUUCGGUAACAUAGUGCAACAUUCUCCCUUUGCUAGUUUCCUCACUAAAAGAGUGGCGAUCUUUUGAGUUUUCUAGUUCUUCCGACCCCAAAAUGGAACUUGGGUCCUUGUCUACUUCUCGACACCGUAAUUUUUUUCUGUUGCGGUUGAAUAAUUGGAAGUAGCCAUGGACCCAGGUUCGGUUUUGGGUUGAAAGCACUAGAAGAUUCAAAAGACGCAAGCUUUUUUUGUGGGGAAACUAGCGAGAGGAGAGUGUUGCACAAUGCUACCGAAAGUCUGGAUCAAAACUGCACUAAAACACAAAGUCAUUGUUAGACAUCGGUUAAAUCCAUGACCGACGUUUAUAACAACAUAGACGUCGGUUAGUGUCAUUUUAAACCUCUUUAUAUAUUCAAGUUGACGUCAGUUUAAUCAUAGGUGGACGUCUAUAUAGAGUAAUUUGACGUCAGUGUGAGUAUAAGCAGACGUCUAUAUAGAUGUCGGUGGAUAUCGUUAACUGAUGUUUAUAUGGACGUCGGUUCUGACGAAUUUCGACGUCCCAUAGACGUCACCCGUUUAGACGUCGGUUGUGAAAGUGACGUUCAAAGCCCAAAUUAACCGACGUUAAACAACGUUUUUGCACUAGUGCAUGAAGCCUACAACCAAAACCAAAAAUUGAGACAAAAUAAAAGUCAAAACAUAUUGGUUAGUUAGAAAUUGGGAGAAAAUAAACACCAAAACAAUACCCUCAAAACAUUUGGAUUUCCGUGCACAUGUAAUAAGCUAGGUUAUCACUCAAUCUUUCCUAAAAGAGUGUAGACUCCUCUAGGCCCUAAGAAUUCAAGUGACUAGCAAACAUAUGUGAAUGUGAACCAAACACAAAGAGUUUCAAGGAAAAGAAAACAUCAACUGACAAAACUAAGAAACUUAAUAAGAAGCAAGAAAAGCAUAAAAACAAGGAAAGUUAAACUCUAAAGAAGGAAAAAUUCAUGUGACAGAACUAGCAACAAGACUAAUACAAUAAAAGCUUAAAAUAAGACUUAAUAGGAAAUAAUCAAUCAUGUAAGUAAAAUUCCAUCCAACAUGCACAUACCAAGGUGAUUAGGAUCCUACAAUAUGGGAACUAAUUUACCAUAUUCAUCAAUUUAACUUAAAGGGUUCAACUCUAGAAUCAAAGCAACAUGUAACUUUGACAAUUUCUAUUUUUCAAGUAGUGUUCUAAAGCUCUUGGCCAAGCAAUAUGUUUUUUACUCCAAAGGUGCUUAGAAACUCAUGCCCAAGACAAUCUAGGUACUAAAAACAGUUUUGAAAUUGAUUUAAAAUUGUUAACUAGCUGCUAGAUGUUUAUGAACACUUAGCUCUUAUGUAUGGCUAAACCAAUCCAACCAAGAGACAUACACACUAAGCUACGAAUUUUAUCAAACAUACACACUAAGUGGGCUAGGUUGAAAAUUGUCCAUAUAAAAAAUAAUAUUUUUUUCAAACUCAACCCAAUCCGAACCCGCGAUAGGCCGAAUUAGUCUAGAGAUUUCAACCCAUUUUGACAGUAAUACUCUUAAAGAUGUAAAGGGUGUUGCUCCCUCCACCACCCCAAGUGCUCCUGCACCUCCCCACUAUUUUCAUUUAUUCCAAAAAUAUUUUACACCUCCCCACUAUUUUCUUUUAUUUCAAAAAUACCCUACACCUCCCCAUUAUCCUCAACAAUCUUUCUAUUUCUCUCUCUAUAUUAAUGAAGUAUUCACAUGGUUCAGAUUUAAAUUUGUGAUAUAUUGCAAAAUAUAAAAUUCAGAGAAAACUUCAAUAUUAGUGCUUCUACCACUUUCAUUUUAUAUUCAUAGUAAAUAAUAAUAAUAUGUUAUUAUUAUUAUAUACUAACUUUAUAAUGACAAAAAAACUAAAUAAAUUCCAAAUCUUUAACAAAUAACUUUUCUUUUAUAUUUUAAGUGUUUAAUAAUAUUUUUAUAUUAUUUAUCUAAUAAAUUAAAUACUUUAUUCAAGUUAUUUGAGUUGAACAUGUCUGUAAGUUAAAACAUAAUAUAAUAUUACAAAUUAUAGAUGUUAAAUGUAAAAAAAAACACAGACACAUAUAUAAACAUUUUUCUAGAAAUUUAGAACAAAAUUUUACCAUUUAUUAAGUAAUUUGAAGAAAAAAAAUAUAUUGAACAACACAAAUAACAUUGAAUCAAAUUUAUUUAAGGAAAUAUAUCACAAGUUCAAAUCUGAGUGAUGUAAAUGCUCCAUUAAUGAGCCUUGCAAAUGCUCUGUUAAUGUAGGGAGAGAAAGAGAAAAAUUAUUGAGGAUAGUGAGGAGGUGUAGGGUAUUUUUGAAAUAAAAGAAAAUAGUGAAAGAUAUAGAAUAUUUUUAAAAUAAAUAAAAAUAGUGAAGAAGUACAGGAGCACUUGGAGUGGUGGAGGAAGCAACACCCUUAUGUAUAUGCACAUGUUAGUAUGGCCAAUACGAUGAGAAGUUACUCAGAUAAACCAUCUCCUUUCCCUCAACAAAAUAAACUUUAAAAAUGAAGUGUUAACAUAAAUUCAUACUUCUUUAAGAAGAGUUUUGAUUUCAUGAUGUCUAUAGAUAUAAGUUGCACAACGUAUGAAAGUUAUUGAUGGAACCAAUGUAAAUACAGGUGUAAUUUUAUUUAUUUAUUUAUUUAUUUAUUUUCAUUUUUAGCUUUUAAUAGCAAAAGAUGUCUCAUAAAGGUACAGAAAGAGAGACACUCUCUAAUAAAUAUUUUCCUAUUGUGAAGUUGUUUUAAAGUAAGGAAAGGUUUAUAUUUCAUAUUCUCUUUGUUUAAAUAUAAAUUUUAUAUGAACAAUUAUUUUGUUGUAUAACUUGAAGAGAAUUUAUUUAUUUAUUUAUUAUUGAGUAAAACCUUUUUAUCGUUGGCAUUGUAGAGGUGAAGGUAACAUUUAUUGUUGAGUAAAACCUUUUUAUUGUUGGCAUUGUAGAAGUGAAUGUAACCAAGAUUAAGGAUGAAAUUGCAAAAAUAAAUUACUCGUUAUUUAUUUGUUUGUAUUACAUGUGCAAUCCCUCUUGACCAGCAUAAAAUAUUCUUAAACCUCUUUAUAAAACCAUUAACCAACCCAUUAUUAACCUUUAAUAGGCUUAAUUGCAAAAAAAAAAUUAAAAGAUAAUUUAAACUUUGUUCAAAUCCUAUGCCUAACAUUUAUUACAAUACUAUCAAUAAAAGUAAUUAACAUUGAAACAAAAUAGUAAAAUGAGAAAAUGUUUAAAAGAAUUUAGAAAAAAAGUUAUUAAAACUAUAUUAAAAAAAUCAUUUCAAUCGUAUUCGUUUUAUACAUGAAAGAUAAAAUGUGUAGCUCUUUCAUUGUUUGUUUUAGAUCACAUUCCAAAAAUAUGAUAUUUAAAUUAAUAAAUAUGUUUUUGAAUAAGAAUUGAUACGUAAAUUGUUCCAACUUACUUCUUCCGUAACCAUUUCUUAAUACUACUAAAUAAUCAUUUCCAAAAUACUCCACAACACAUCUUCUAUAAUCGUUUCUGAAUGUACUACUACUACGAAUAGGCAUUCAAAAAGUAUACAGUUUUUGUUACAUUAUAGACAUUACAUAAGCACAAUAUCUUGUUACAAAAUAGGCAUAUAUAAUUUAAUCUUAUUUUAAAUAUUUAAUUUUAUAAAUUAUGUUAUUUAAAUAAAAUAAUUUAAAUUUAACAAGUUUAAUUUUUAUUUAAAUAACUAUGUUAAUUAUUGUCAAAUAUAAAAAAUUAUUUAAAUAUGAAAUAAUUAGUAUUAAUUUAAAAUUAUUAAUAUUGACAACAUUUUUAAUCUAUUUUAAUUAAUAUUAUUUUAUAAUUAAAUUUUAUAACUACAUUUAAAACAUUGUUGUCGAUAUUAACGGAAAUAAUGCCAGGACACAUUUGCUUCUGCUCACAUUCUACUAAAUAACUUCAUGAAAAACAUUAAGUAUUACAUACAGGCUGAUAUGUUUCUACUAGAUAUCUAAAGAUUUUUGCACCACUAGAGUUACCAUAGAAAAGUACUUUCACAAGAGUCUUACUGUAAGACCUUUGAGUGCUAGUUUACAACUGACUUUGUAAACUACAAGACAUUGUCGAAUUUCAAAUCAUUAGGAACUAUUAAUGUAGAAGCUCACUAAUACUGUGGCAAACAUUAACUAAAUGUAAAUAAAUUUAUUACCUGUCAGAUAUCUUAAAUGUCAAAUUGGAGUUCUACACAGGCGGUGUGAAGUAUUAUCAAGGACAUGAGAACAUCAGUGGUAGGAACCCAUAAACUCAUCGUUUGCUAUUCUCAUCCCCUAGGUAUUUCAUUUUUGCCAAAAGAAACGGCAGAAACACAGAUUUGAAAGAUGGGAAGGAAACUGUAAGAAAAGGAAGCUAACAAAAGACUAACGUUGGAAUUCUACAUCCGUGUCCCCACUGCUGCCAAGAAUCAACUAAUAAAAACAUAAUGAAUCAUACAUGCUAGCUAUAAAAUGCUUCAGUGCAGCAGCGUUAGCCCCAAAGAUACAAAAGGCAGUUACUUAGAUUUCUUUUGUAUUUCAGAAACUCUUUGGCCCAUAAUUUUACAAACAGCUUCAUCUUUUGACUGAAGAAGUUUUAAAGCAGGGUGAACUUUGAGAUCUCCCAUUACUAUUUUCUGGCCCACAUCCAACUCACUUAAAUCGACGUCAAUAUAUGGGGGAAUAAUGUCUGCAGGGCACAAGAACUUAACAGUCCUUUUGAUGGUAUUCAAAGAAGCACCUGCCAAAUUUGUAAAGUGAUUAAUAAUAUUCAACAAACAUCAUACACACAACACAACAACGAACCACACAAAAUAUUAUGAGAAGUAGGUGUCAGGCAAUAAGCAAAAAAUGUUGAAUAAUGAAUUAACAACCAUUCGCUUUGCAUCAACUAAUCUUACAUUUGAAUCAUUUGACCAGACUGGUGUUCUACCAUUCUGAUAAUAACUAUCAUAUCAGGCACUUCAGUAAGGCAAUAAUAAACAAACUAGUUGGUUAAAUCUACAAGUUUUCGAAAUAUAUUAUGAGUUGCCAAAUCACUGUCCAUGAAAUAAUAACUAUCACAUCAGGCACUUUAAUAAGACAAUAAACUAAGUCAAUUGGUCAUUUUUAUAAAUUUACAAGUUAAACAAGUAUCCCGUGAGUCUCAAAAUCAUAUUCUCAGCCAGUCUUUCCGGUAGUUCUUCAAAAAAAUUCAAUAAAUACUCAUAAAUUACAAUUUCCCGGAGGAUCCAAAUGGUUCUUAAACUGAGUGAGUAAAUAUUUAUACAAGUAUACAACAGUUGACCACAACUGACAAGGCAGUAACAGCAGAUUUAUUAAGAAAACAACUCAAUUGAAUUAUAAUAAAGGAGAAGAACAGGGGGAAAAAAAAAAAAAAAAAAAAAAACAACGCAUAAAUAGAAGAUCUAGUAGUGUGAUCAUAAANAAAACAACUCAAUUGAAUUAUAAUAAAGGAGAAGAACAGGGAAAAAAAAAAAAAAAAAAAAAAAACAGACGCAUAAAUAGAAGAUCUAGUAGUGUGAUCAUAAACUUGCUCAAGAUGAAUUUUCAAGAUAGAAAAACGAGAGCUGGCGUUCAAGAUCACUCGGACUAUAAAACAAUACAUGAUGAAAUACCAAAUGCCCAUAUCUUAACUACAAGCAACUAUCAGUCAGAUUAAAAUAGCACGCACUACAAAGAAUAAAAUUAUGUAAAAAGCAUCCAUUUUACCCUACACAGACAUUAUAAAGGAAAAGCUUCAAAAACUGACUUGUUAAUAGGAGGUUAUUCUUCAUAAAGACCAUUACAUCAAUAAAAGUAGGGUUACUUGAUAGCUAAUGAACUAGUAGCCGUUGCUUUAAUGGUUACAAUAACAAAAACAGCCCCUCAACUCAGCCUUCCAAUCGUGGGAGCCUCUUACACUUGACCAUAAUAAAACUAAGCCUUAAGACAUUUAUCUACCAACACCAACUACCAUAAGCAAAAAGAUUAUCCAUGUUCCACAGCACUUAGCCACACUUUGGUAUACAUCCCACAUGAAGAGACAUCAGAACUCAAAAUUAUUAACGAAAAAAGUCCAUCACAUUCACCCCUUAGCAUGAAGCGUACUACAAAUAAAUUCAAAAUAUCCAAUGCCAUAGAUUUUACUAGCCAAAUAGAUAGAGUUUGGUCAUGAUAAUUAGGUGUACAAAUAAACUAUGAAACUGUAACCUUAGCUCAAGCUUCUCUCCUGGCCUAAAAAAAUUAUGAUACAGUAUAGACAAUUCGAUAGAGUAAUUUACAAAUACAACAAAAAUGUUGAUAAAACUUAUUAAGGGAUGAUUCAAACUGUAUGUGAAAAUCAUAAAGUUUUCCAUAUUUUGGUAAGGGUCUCCGUAAACAGUUAUAAAAAUACAAAAGUAAGAUAAAAUAAAUUCAAGUUUUUCACCAACUUAUGUUAGAUGGAAAAAACUUCACAUGAGCUGGGUUCAACUAAUGGGAGAAUCUAAAUUAAUUUUAGAUUUCUACUUACUACCACAGAAAAAAUUAUCCACACAGACCUUAAUCUGUAAGAAAAUUACGUGCGAUGACAAUAGAGCUUACCUUUCUUGAGUCCAGGUGAUACAUCAUCUCCUAUGAAGACGAGAGGAACAUUAACUUUCAACAAGGCGCGCGACGGAGCCCUUAUAAAGGUCACAUUCAACGGCGCGUCUGUGCCAGCUUUCAAAUGAAUCUGCGAAAUUCUCAAAUGUUCAAUACAAUCCAUAAUCAAUUUUAACGCGUUCAUUGCAUGAGGAAAUUCACAAUCACAAAUUCAGAAGCACAGGAUCAGUUAUCAAAUAAAAACGAUGAAUAUAAUACAACUAGAGAGAGAGAGAGAGAGAGAACAUGGCGAGGCAAGACGCGAACGCUCUCAACGACGUCAUCAGAGUCGAACUGCGCGCGGACUUCUAGGUGAAAGAGGCGGGAGAGGAAGAAGGACCGGCCGAGGUGGUUGACGAGUUUUCUGAUCUGGUCGGUGCGGACGGAGAUGAGGCGUUUGUUGCCACCGUGCUGGCCAUCUUCCUGUUCGAAGAUGAUGCUCGGCAAGCGCCCGGCGCGUCGCUCCUUCGCCGAAAUGUUCUUGCCGGAGUCCGCGCGGGGAACAGCGAAGAUCGUCUCAUCGUGCUUGGGAUCCGGGCGAGGAAAGCCGUCGAGGUAGGUGAGCGGCUCCGGCUCCGGCGGGUGGAGAACGGCAGCGGCCGCGGAUUGGGAGAAGUGGCGGCGGUGCGGAGAGAGUUUGGUGAAGAUGUGGCGGGGUAGAUACAUAGUUUGGAGUGAAUGAAUAAAGGGUUUAGAAGGGUUUUGUUUUCGGUUGUGACGCUAAGUGGCUGCGGAGCCUCUCUUGGCGAUUCACUCACUAGCUAGCAUCUGAACCGAAUGUGGUGAUUCUCACGUGAGAUACACGUGAUCUCGAAUCAAAUACUAACCAUCUUUUUCUUAUAAACAUACUACUUGUAAAACAUAAUAUACAUCAAACUUAAUUAAUGACCGUUUAUUUUAAUCCCAAAGAAAAAAUAAAUGAUAGCUUAGAUUUGGUUACUUGCAGGAAAUGAAUCUCAGAAAAUGAAAAUUAGCACCCUGAAGUUUGAAUAAUGUAAGAUUUAAUCUCUAACAUGAAAGCAAGAGUUUAUAGUCUUACAAUUUAUUAAAAAAUAUGUUAACUUUUAAAAUAUAAUAUAAGUUUAAAAAGUACAUUUAGCUUUGCAUUCAUACAACUUUUCACCAUGCAUAAAAUAUGAAUGCACAACUUCAAAUUCAAAAAGUUAAACUUGAUAAUUUACUUUUUCGUAAAUAACAUGAAAAUUUGUUAUUUUCCAUCUUUAGUUUUAAACCUAAAUUUAUGUAAAUCAAUUACGUACAUUUUCACCAUAACUAUUGAAUAUAAUCCUCUUGUCUAAAAAUACGUAAGUAAUAUAUCUAUAAUAAAAAUUUAUACAAGUAUACAUGGCAACUAAAAUAAAUAGAAGAUAUUACUAAAAACGAUAUAUACCAAUAUCAAAUAAUAGAAAAAAGUUUAUAUUUUCUUAAUUACUAUAAAAUAUAUUAUAUCGAACAUUUUUUUCUUAAGUUAGUGUAUAUAAACAAUAUCUAUCAAGUUUGUUAUAAAUAUAUCAAUUCAUGAUCUUCUGAAAGACUUAGUAAAAAUAUUUGUUAAUUGAUAAUUUGAGUUAACGAACUCGAUCUUUAUAUCUCUAAAUAAAUUUUUUCAUAAAUGAAAUGACAAUCAAUCUUAAUAUGUUUGGCAAUUUCAUAAAGGAUAAUGAUAUUUAGACAACAUUUUUUUGACAACAUUUGAACAUUGAUUACGUGUCAAUCUGUGAUUGGUAAAAAAUCACUCCACAAUAAUGUUUAUGAUUAUUAUUAUUGUGGAGUGAUUUUUUACCAAUCACAGAUUGACACGUAAUCAAUGUUCAAAUGUUGUCAAAAAAAUGUUGUCUAAAUAUCAUUAUCCUUUCAUAAAAGUCAGAAUCAUAACUUACAUAAAAAGUCGAUUGAUUGUCACAUACAGGUGUCAUUUGAGUGGCAUCUCUAAAUUGUAACUCUUUAAGCAAGUUCACAAUUGGUUGAAGUCAUAGCUUUAUAUUUCCCUUCUACACUAGAUCUUGCCACAACACUUUGAUUCUUGUUCUUCCAAGAAAUCAAGUUACCAUCAAUGAAAAAACAUUACUCUGAGGUAGAUCUUCUAUCUGAAUGACAAACAAUUUUUGUAUGGUUAUUGGAACCAUAUAACAAACAUUUUUUAAGAGAUCCUUUAAUGUAAUAUAAUAUACGAAUGAUUGUUCCAGUGAUAUUCACAUGGGAAAUUGAGAAAUUGGCUCACUACAUUAAUUGCCAAGGAAAUGUUAGGACAAGUAAUUGUAAGGUAAUUUAACUUCUCAACCAAUCUUCUAUGUUGCUCAAGAUCUGAAAUAGGCUCCCCUAAUUUGAUAGAAGUUUGGUAUUAGGAUUCGUGGGUGUGUCAAUAGGUUUGAAUUCAUCAACUUAGUUUCCUUCAAAAUAUUCAAUGCAUACUUCAUUUGAGAUAUAACAAUAUCAUUGUUGGAUUGUGCUACUUCAAUACCCAAAAAGUAUAUGAGUUUAUCAAGAUCUUUAGCUUGAAAAUGAUGGCAAUGGUGUACUUUGACAUACCAAAUUGUUGAAUCACGCUGCUAAAUAUUCAAAAUUAGGCCUUAGGAGAUUGUUUCAGGCCAUAUGAAGAUUUGCAAAGAUAACAUACAAUCCAAAAGACUUCACCUUGAGCAACAAAUCCGAGAGGUUGCUCCAUAUAAAUUUCUUCCUACAAAUCUCUAUUGAGGAAAGCAUUUUCUAUAUCGAAUUGAUAAAGAGGUCAUUAUUGAAGAGCGACCACACCAUAAAUAAACUAACAAAAGUCAUUUUUUUCUAUUAGAAAUGAGAGGCCUUAUAUCUCAACCCAAGAGCGGGGUUGAAUUGCAUUUUACCCUUUUUCAAAAUCUUUUCCAAAUAUUUAUGGCUCUUGGAUCUUGAAAUCAAUAAUCAAAGAAUUAUAAAUCAACUAAGCAAAGAAGGAAAAGAAAAAGAUCAAGACACAAUAAUCUAUAAUGGUUCGACUAUCACAAGCCUACAUUCAGUCCUUCUUCAACAACCUUAGUUGAAGGGAAUCCAUUAAUAAUGAUUUGAGAUUACAAGAAUACAAUGACAACCCUCAAUUGCUCUCUUCACACCACUCAAAUCAAAAUAGCAAAAACAAGAGAUGAAACACGCAAUCUCUUACAAAACACAAGAGUAAUCUCAGUUUUCCAACCUGGCUAUCCUCACACAAGUAUUCAAUACAUAGAUUGAUGAUGAACCUGAUCAUAAAUACACUCUCCAAAGUGCAGAUUGAAUCAGAAACAAUGAAAUCCAAUGUCUUGAAUGAAAUCUUGUUGUGUAAUCACUAAGGAAGCUUUGAUUCCUCCAAGAACGAGUCUUUAAGAGCACAUGUAUUCAAAACUCAAAAAAAUUGUUAGUAUAUGAAAAUUAGAACGUUAUAAAAUCAAGUCUCAAGUCAAGUAUAUAUAGAAAUUCAAAUCCUGACGCUGAAUAAUCGAUUAUGUUAUUUACAUAAUCUAUUAUGUUUUAACUGAUUAUCUAAUGUGUAUAAUUGAUUAUUUAAAAUCUUAUGCCUAUGACUGCUUCUUCUAACAGUCUUAACAAAUUAGGCUUAUUCUGUAAUGGAUUAGACUAUGCUCUCUAUUUUAAUCGAUUAUCAAACUUAUGUAAUCGAUUAUAUUGAAACUUAGCCAUAUUAGUCACUCAUUUACCUUUCUUAACAGAUUUUAUCACUUAUGUAUCAGAUUAUGGCUUUCUCUAUGUUUUAAUCGGUUAUGUAACUUAUAUAACAUAUUAUAAUAGAAUGGUUUGUCCCUGUUUAGUUUUCUAAGUGUUCUGGCUAAAUCCAACAUAUUAUUCAACUUAUGUAACAAACUAUCUAUACCAGAAACUAGAUUUCUAAUAUGUUUUAGGCUUGAUUCACUUAUCAUCAAACAUCCACCACUAACAUGUUAAAGAUAUAAACAUUUGUUAUGUCAUUUUUUUUGUGCAAGAAACCAUUGGUAAUCAUUUAACCAUUCAUCUUCAAAAACUAAGAUAUAAAGAAGUUAAGCUCCCCUUGUCAAGGUUUUCCACUGGAAAAAAAGUAUCUCCAUAAUCCAAUCCAAAAAUUUGUGUAUAGCCCUUGGCUAUAAGUAGAGCUUUGAGGUUAUCAAAAGUACCAUCAGAACCAACUUUAAUAACAAAAAUCCAUUUGUGAUCAACAAUAGAUAUCCUAUAUGGUGAUUAAGUGAGCUCUCAUGGUCCACUAUUUUGAAGAGCACAUAGUUCAUCUAGCAUGGUCUGAUGCUAAUCGGGAUAAGCUAAGACAUCCCUGACAAAUUUAGGAAUGGACACAAAAUAAAUAAACGAAAGGCAUGUAUAAAAAGAUGAAAAUAAUAUACGGUAACUCAAAGCAAUAUAAUGUGGGGAGGGAUUAUAAGUAGAACGUAUACUUUUAUGAAGGCAUUUGGAAGGUGUUGUCGGAGUCGAAGAAGACAAAAUAGUUGGCACUUGAAGUGAGUCACUUGGUGGUUAUUGGAAACGAUGUCUCCGACUAUAAACCUAAAGUAGAGGUGGGAGAGGAGAAUCUGAUAGUGGACUAGGCACCACUAGAGGAUCACAAACAAAAGGAAUAUUAAAUAUAGUAGACGGAGACACACAAGAAGAAGAA